GUGCUGAUAAUGUCUUUUAAUUUCAAGCCACAGACUUCACACAAGACUCAAAAAAUAUCUAGGCCAAAACUUUCUAUCCACAAUUUUCAGUCAAUGUAUACAGCUAGUCAACUCAAAAGUAAAUCGAUAAUUUUAAAAAAGAAACAUACUUUAGUCAUUUAAUUUUCCUUCGUACUAAAGGUAUAUGGUUGAUGUUCCAAAAUAAUUUGAAGAAAAAGAAGCUUCCUAAUUAAUUAACUUAUAGUCGCAUUAUAAACACCAAGAAAGAAUAUAUAUGUGUGUGUAAUCUUAAAGGAGUUUUUCUUUUCUUUUAAUCAUAUAUAUGUGAACUUAUAUUAGCUGCAUACCUAACCAAAAAAAAAAUGAUAGAAAGCACAAAUAUAUGUAAAUUAACAAACCUCUGAUUGUGGGAGAGACAGAGACUGCAUAAUCCUCCAGUUGUAAAGAAUGAGAAGAGGAAUGGUUGUGGUGGCGGAGAUGGCUUCCAUGUUUACUUUAUUGCCGUGCCUUCUCAAUAAGGAUAACUAUCGAUAGCAUAUGCACAUAUAUUAUACAAUGAUUCAGUACGGCCUGGCCCCAUGCAGUAGACUUAGCUUUAUAUGAGGUCUUGGGCAAUAUUAUUGGUCUUUUUAGAUUGUGCACGUUUCCUUUCUAAGGUGGCAAUUUAGACUGCGUGUCACUCCCUUAUUGGUACAUAUGCAAAUUGUAGUUUCAGAAACAUUUAGAUAAAUUAUAGCUUUGAGACUAAAAUAACUCUACUAAUUUAAUUAGACGGCGUUUUACUCUUUGACUGGUACAUAGUAACUUGCUGCUUUAGAAAAAUUUAGAUUAAUUAUAGCAAUUUAAAAAAUAUUAGUUAAUUGACAUGGUCUCUUUCAAAUUAAAAUCUUAAUUUCAUCCAAGGUGUUUAAUGAUCUGUGUUGAUGUGAAUUUUAAGAACUGAGUAUAUUUGUCAUUGAAGUGUUAUUUUCGUUAUAUAAUAUUAUUUGAUUUUACAUAUACACACACAAGAAUUUUGCUUGUGAUUCACACGAAGAGAAAGAGAGUUUUCCACACAAAAGGAUAAAAACUGCAGCAACAAAGGGGACCAGCGACUUUGCACAAGUCCACAAUCGUGGGGCCCAUUAUUGAAUUUCGUACCCCUUCUCUCUCCCUUUCACUGUAUUUUCUUUUUUCGUAUUUUUUUUUUAUCUUUUUUAAAUCUGGGAUCCAAAUAAUUUCUCAUCUCUUUGAGUUUAUUUUUGAAUCGAAGCUACAUGCAGAAAAGAGAGAAGAGACAAUAAGCAUGCCAAAAUUUGUUAACAUAUAACAAACGACUGUAUAUAAAUGCAUUAACAAAUUAACGUCAUACACAAGACUUUACUCUCUAGAUCACAGAAUGCUCGUAAGUAAGCUUGCUUAUGGUCUUUGUUAUGGACAAAUGAAAUUACAAAAGUAAUUAAGCUUCUCUCAGGCCUUGUCCCUUCUUAGAGGACUGCAACGUAAGAUGAACAUAUAAAAGAAAGAAUUCUAUGUAUUGAAAAUUUAAUUAGCUUAUAAUGUUGGAUAAAAAUCAGUUUAAAAAAAAAACUUUUAGGAUCGCUCUCAUACAAUAUAUAAGAAUUUGUAAUUUAGAAAUCUUACCUUAAAAAUCCUAUUUUACUUUUUCCGCUGAAGUGAUUUAGGCUCCCAGAUCACGAUCCGUCACUACCACGCUUGUUAGAUCACGAACUGUCACCAAUGAUCUUCCAGGUUAUGACUUAUGUUUGAUCUGCACUUGACGUGUUGGCGCUUUUAUCACUAUCAAAGUAACUAGCACGAGAAAAUUUUUCUCUCAACAACAGAUAGAAAAAUCUUUUUCUCUCAUCUGUAUAAAGUGGCUGCUCUAUUUCUUUUGGGAGAAAAUAAGCCCUUUUAUAUUUUUAUCUAGUGAAAACCGUAGGCUCCAUAUUUAUUUUUUAAUUCUAUUAAAUCUCUUUUGAUUUAAAUUAAAAAAUAAUUAAAACAAAAGUUACGAUUACUUGCUCUUGUGUUAUAGAGGCCCACCUUGUAAAAUAACAUAAGGCCCCUUACACUCAAGCAUAUUAAUGAAGUCUCCCACUAAAUAAUAUAUUUAGACUUUUGACCCAAAUAGUUAGUUAUCUUUCUUAUUAAUCAAGUUGUGGUGCAGUCAAUUAAAUGAGCUAACCCGGGGAUCAUUUGGGAACAUACAAUAGUGACUACAAUAAUUAGGCCUGUAAUUAAACUAGCCCAAUUAUUUAAUUCUAAAUCUAUUCUACUAAAAGAUUGGAACUGACCUCCAUAAUUGUAUGCUCGAAUAAUAAUUCGUCCCAAGUCACAUUGAUUUCUUUACUGCAUAAUCUUUUGUACCACAUCAUUAAUUAAAUCGAUAUCUCAACUGUCCAAUCGAUUUAAUUACAUCUUAUUCCUUGAUACUUACUGGUUUUCUCUAAUGAUCAUUUUCAACAUACUAAAUAUAUUGACACACUCUAGCCAGAGAAUUCUAUGAUUAAGUGCCGAAAACCGAUCAAGAGAUAUGUUGUAAAAAUUUUAUAUUAUUAAUCCAUAACUCUAAUACUCAUAAUUGCUCCCACCAAGAUACCGGGUAAUCUUGACCACAAUUGUGUGUCGUGCCCAUUGGUAAUUCAAAUGGAAUAACAAUUAUAAUCAUGAAAUCAUAACUAACUCAAGAUUAAGAUUACAGUAAAAUCAAUGCCUAUGAGAUUUAAUAAGUCUGACAAUCAUUUUAAGGUUAAUUAAAUCUCAUAUGUGAUCUAGCUCAAUGUGGUCAAACUACAUCAGUAAAUUCAUAUAUAACUAAGACAAAUCAUUCAAUGAAUUUACUAUAGUCUAAACAUAAAUAGAGUGCCCAACUCUAUUUAUCAAUUGCGAACUAAAUUUAUUUAAUCAUAAGAUAACUUGUAUUUAUGCCUUUUGUGAAUCCAUAUGAUGAUCACAUAAAUACAUAUAAUAUGAUUAAACGGACCUUAUUCAAUAUAUAUUUAUGCAAUUGAAAAUAUCUCAAAUAUUUUAUUAAUUAAAAAAUAAAUUAAUAUGCUUUAAAAGAGUAUAUAAUCCCAACAUAUAAUAUAACUAAUUAAAAAACUAAAGUUAAAAGUGCAAGAAAAGUGUACGUACCUUGAAGGAUUAACGUGCUGUUGAAUGGGAAGAUGCAUCAUAUUGAUUUCGUCCUCCAGUCUUUCUCCUUUAAAAAAAAAAAAAUUUUAAAGAGAGAUAUUUAUAUAAUGUGAACAACCAUUGAAAUUUUCAUUUCGAUGGUUUUGCUGUGAAUGGUGCUUCAGCUUCACAAAUUUAUAUAUAUAAUAUAAAUGGUAUAUUUAUAAAAUAAAAAUGGUUGGGGGCUAAAUGGUAAUACGUGGGGCCCAUUCCAUAGAGAGAGAAAGAGAGAAAGCGAGAGGUAAAAGGGGCAAAAAUGUCACGGAGAUUCGGCUUUCGUUAGCUCAACUUAACAUUGCACCGCUUUAACUUUUUUUCUUUCGGCUGUCCUUUUCUUAACGUUUGAAGGGAGUGAGAGACAAUAGGAAAAGUCAUUUGGGUCCUUCCCAAUCCCGUCCAUGUUUCUUUCUUUUUUCGGUAAUGGGGGAUGUCCCUUUUUUCUUUUCUUAAUUAUUUCAACCAUACAUAUAUAUAUACACCCACAAAUAUACACACACAAAAUAAUAAUUUUUUAAUAAAAACAUUCUUAUUUUGAUAAAUGACAAUAUUAUUAAUAAAUAUAAAAAUAAAUUUUAAUGCAUUGACAAAUAAAAAAUGUAAUAUUAAUAAACGAUUGUUAAAUUAAGAAACAGUUGUUAAAUCUGUAACUUCUAACACCAGAACUGAGGCAAGUGUUUGUUAAAAUGAAUCAACUAUUCCACCACUGCCUACUGAAAGUCAUAUUUGAGUCAACGAUAUCGAGCAAAGCUGUGAAUCUUGGAGGUUUUAAUGAGUAAUUUCACCAUCGCCACAAAUACGAGUGAUCGACCCAUCGUAGACCUACAUUAGCAAAUACACAACCACAAAUAUAUUAGCAAGUCAUCCGAACAGAUAUUAAUUUAGCUGACCCACGGGUCAUGUACUGGCAAAUUUAGGCGUACAUUAGCUUAUUAACCGACCGACCACUGGCGCUUAUUAGCAAAAUAAACCGACCCAUCAUAGGCCUAUAUUAGCAAAUAUACCUUCACAAGUAUUUUAGCAAGUCAACCGAUUUUUGUAACACCUCUUGCAAAAGUCGAUUGCAGACUACUGACGUCGAGGUCACGAAUAAAAUAAUGAAAAUAGAAAAAGAAAAAAAAAGGGAAAAAGAGAUAUAAAAACACUCGGCUUUAAUACAAUGGAACAAUUAUUUAUAUCAAAAUAUUCUGAAUGACUUAUUAAGGUAAAUAUUUUUUUUUUGUUUCUAUAUUUUAGAUUAAACAUCGGUUUAUUUUCUAAUUUUUUUUGUUUCUAUAUUUCAAAAAAUUUUGAAAUUAAAGUUAAUAGAUUUUUUUUUCUUAAACAGCUGAGGAUUUUUGUUAUUUCCCCUAAAUCAAUGUUUUAGGCCAAAUGUGGUAAUUGAAUUAAAAAAAAAAAAGAAUAGUAACAUGUGUACAAUAGAUAGUACAAAAAACGUACACGAUCACUAUAGGAUUAAAAAAAAAAAAUUACUGCAUAACAACAGAAAACUUCACUACAAAAUAUUUUUUCUAUCUCUUAUAAAAUUAUUGUACAUACAUCAUUAUUCUUAAAGUAUUAUUGAAUUAAUUAUGCAACUACCACGAUAGACUAUUGAUUUAAUAUGUGCUAGAAUUUUGAUUGUAAUGCACAUGUAAAUGAGAAUUUUCCACACAUUAAAUGAUAAUUUUUUCUUAUAAAAAAAAAGAGAAUUUUCCACACAAAAAAAAAGAUAAAAAAUGCGGAAUCAAAAUUCAAAAGGCGCCAAUGACCUUGCUCAAGUCCACUAUCAUGGGGCCAUUCUCAUCUCAUGUGCUUCCUCCCCCUUCUCUGACGUAUUAUUUACGAUAAUUUUUAUUGUAAUGCAGAGAGAGAGAUAAGACAAGGCAAAUAUAUUACAAAGACAAUCAUGGCCGCUGCAACCGUCGUCGUCGCCGCCGGCAUUCACAGGUAUGUGUGUGCAUAUAUAAUUUUCUUUUUUUUUAAAAAAAAAAAAAAGCUUAAUUGAUUUAUGUAUUUAGCUUAGUAAAGCUAGUUUAUUAUUAUUUUUUUAUUUUAAUGAUUAGUUCUCGUACCAACUUCGACAAGCUGGGGUGAAAAAAAAUUUGAUCACGCGACAGCAUAUACUCCUCAGGCAAAUGGUAAUUUCAUUGUUUUUUUUUUUUGAAGUGCUGUAUUUUAAUUUGUACUUUGGAUAAUAAAUACCUUUUGAAAUAUGUGUUAAUAAAUCGUGAGGAAAUUAUUAAACUCCAUUCUGUUUGUAGAAAUUAAUCAAUUCCCCUCGCACAAUUCAUCGAAAUACUCAUGUUGUGAACCUUUUUCUUUUUUGUGUUAGCUAAUAUACCCAGAUUUUUUCAUUGUUUAAUGAUAGAUUUACCAUAUUAAAAGUUAAAUAAUAAAAGAAUACAACAAAAAUGUGAAAUAAAAGUUAAUGAAUUCUUUUCUAAAAUUUAGGAUUUUGAUUAUUUUUCCUUAAUCAAUGUGUCACGAUAAAUGUGGUAAUUAAAUGAAAAAAAUAAAAAAUAAAUGUGGUAUGAUGCCGAUGAUGAUGAGAAAUUUUGCAUGCUGUAAAAAAUAUCAAAAUAAGAUAUAAUUACUUAAUUUACAUAAUAAAGUUUUAUAUAAAAAUAAUAUAUAGUUGCAGUGUAUAACGUUCUAAGAGAUUAUUCAAUUCAUUAUAAUAUAAUAAUUAAAAAAAUUAUAUAGAAAAUCAAAAAAAUCCUUAUUCAGUAAAUUCCUAAUUCUAAACUGAAGUCAACUUCAUCUUCUAAACUUUCUCUCUCAGUCUCAGUUACACAGCCACGGUCUCUCUCUCCAGCGCGUCCUCACUCAUCAGCCGGCGCGUCAUGACCGUUAGCCCAUGUGCAGUCAGCUAGCACGUUGUCAUUCCUCAGCCAGCCUUUUGCGAAACAUCCACACUGCCGUACCGUCAUCGUCGCUUCGUGCUUUGCCUCACCGCGCGUUCGCGUUGGAAAAUCAAAUGAUGGCAUAAGAGACAAAUAUUUAUUUGUGGACAUAAUAAAAUUUAUUCUCGCAAAGUAGUUCUCACAUUGGGUUACAAAUUUGUGAAAUUGGAAAUUGAAAUUGCAACGACUUUCAUUUGAAAUGGGAUCAUGAUACUCUUAUGAUUUGAUCUUUUCAUAUACUUCAAAAUAUUUUAAGUGAAUCUAUGUCUUUUACUGUUAAAUAGUGUAUGAAUUUAUGUGGAGAAAACAAGGAUUUAUCUUUUUCUUGUUGGUACAAAACGGAAGAAAGAUAGGAAGUGCUUUUUAAAUAUGAUGGUUUUGACCGAAACCAAAAGACCUAAAAUUGGCCCUUAAGGCCUUAAGCAAGACAUAAGGUUGAGUUGGUAACUUUAAUUUUAUUGGCUAUUGACGCAUAAUUGUUCACGCCAGGUACAAUACUUAACGUACAAUACUUAACGUUAAUAUGGUAUUGUAUUUAAUUCCAUGUUCUGCGUCUACGUGUAAUUGUGUGUUUAGUUACAAAACAUAAACUUGGAUGACUAAUUGCGAAUUAGUCGCUGAGAAGUGUAAAAUUAUUAUUUGGUCCUCAACAUGAUCAUAUAUUAUCAUGAUUGAGUAAACCACUUCAUUGGCCACAAUAACUUUAUGAGUAGUUAUACAAUCAUAAUAGUUUUAUGCAAAUAAAAUUAUAUAAACUGACGUUGUAUAUUAUCAUUAGUUGUAUUAAGAUCCACGUGAUUUAUUUUUAUUUUUAUAAUUUUAAUCAAUUAAUUAUAUACGCCCGUAUCUAUUUGUAUAAAACUAUUUGUAAAAUUAUUUGUAACUCCGUAAUUAUUUUGACUUGUAGAAAUAAUUAUUGUGCUAGAUAACUAGUCACAAAAUAUUGUAAAAUGUUAUGGAUAUUUCCACUCCAUAAUUUAUGGAAGACCACCAUUAUUUCGAGAAAAAUAAUUAUAGAAAAUGCGUAUUAAUUAAAAAAGUGCUAAAAGAAUAGCCAGUUUGGACAAAACUACGGCCCUGAGAGUUUCUGCUUUUGCAAAAUUUUGCUUCUUUAAUCCCUAAAGCAGACCGGAGACCCUUUCAAUUUCACAUGACAGCACCAUUGUGCCGUCUCUUAUGACCCCACCAUCAUCCGAAUUGCUAAGAGUAGCCGCCAGUAAACUACCUUCAAAGUUCAUCUUGAUGUGAUUUGAAGAGGAAAUUGCCGCAAGGUUGAGAUAGAUAUAUUUAAAUUUCUUAUUACAAAAAAUACUUGUUUUUUUUUCAUAAUACUUGUUUUUUUUUUUCCGUGUGUGUGUUUUUAUAGACUACAUAAAAUCAUAAAUCUUAUCUUCCAGCUCCAAAAAACAAAUGGAGGAAAAUCUAUUUUCAACAUGUUUGACCACUAGGUAACUUAACAUAAUUUUAAUUUGAUUAUUUUAUCUAUAUAACACAAAUGGCCAAAUUAUCAAUUUUUUUUUUAACAAUUAGAACUCGAUAAAUUUUUAAUACCCCUAUGUGUAAAUAGCAUAAAAUUUAUACCCAAUAAACUUUAGAACGGUAAAAUUUAAUGAGAUUUCACAUCACAAAGACAUUUUGUCAACUUAAUUGAAGAUUAAUAAUCAUAUUUGUUAACAUAUAUGUUUCCAUAAUAUUGAUUUUGAUGAUAACAAACAAGAUUAAGAAUGAUUAAUCUUUUAAGCUCAAAUUAUUUAAUAUUCUUUUUAAAUAAAUCAUUAUUUUCACAUUAUAAAUGUUUUGUAUUUAAUGGAAAAAUGAUUUUAUGAAAUUGAUUGUUUUUAUUCUUUUUAAAUAAUAAAUCAUUAUUUUCACAUUAUAAAUGUUUCAUAUUUAAUGGAAAAAUGAUUUGAGUAUUUCAAAUCAUUCUCAUUCGUUUUCAAUCCAAAUUGAUUCAUAUAAAUUAUUCUCAUCCAUUCUUGUGUCUAAAAUCAUCUCUAAAAUCGUUUUAAUUGAUUCAAACUUACACUUUUUACUCAAUAUCUUAAAAAAUUCGAAUUUGUGCAUUUUGAGUAUUUCAAAUUACCACUUCCAUAGUGUGCUCUCCUUAUGGAUUUUACCAUAGUUUUCUAUUAUAUUAUGCACCUACAUUUUCAUAUGCAUUGUUGCUUUCAUUGUGGAUUGAUGAUGAUUAUUAUUUGAUAUUUGGAUGCAAAUGUUUUAUUUUGAGCACAAAAGAUAAUCUUGGCAAAUUUGAUCCAAAAUUUGAUGUUGGUAUUUCUCUUGGCUAUUCAAACACAAGCAAAACUUAUGGAGUGUAUAUCAAAAGAACUUUGAUUGUGGAAGAAUUUAUACAUGUUAUAUUUGAUGAGUCUAAUUCUUCCUCUAUGGAGAAAGUUGUUGUUGAUGAUAAUAUAGAUGAAAAGCUACAAGAAGAUUAUCAAAUGAUAGCCAAAAGAAUGCACCACUUGAAAAUCAAGAGGAGUAACAUGAAGAAACAAAUGCGGAGUAAAAUGAAAGUACUUCUCAAACACUCCCUAAAGAGUGGAGGUAUGUUUCUUCUCACCUUAAGAUCUUACUUUUAGAAUAUCCAUCACAAGGUGUAACUACUAGAUCAUCACUUAAAAAUAUAUGUGAGCAUUUGUAAUAAUGGAUUUGAUCACUUGUUCUUUACUUAUAAUGAUGACUUUUCUUAAUAGUUAUGUUGAUUUUGAUGAUCUUAUAUUGUUAUUGUGUACUUAUGUUUUUACUUAAGUUUUCAUGAUAAAUAAUGUGCAUUGAUGAUUACAUUGUAUUUGAUAAAGCUUUGAUCUUAUGCAAUCUAUGAUUAGUGAAUGAAUGCAUUUUUUGUACUUUAUCGAUGUAUUGUUGAAUAUGUCUUACUUAUUUUAAAUGAUAUCGAAAAAGGGAGAAAUACAUAUACUUCAAGAAUUUUAAGUAUAUGAGAUUUUUUUGUUAUAUUGAAUGUCACAUUAGAUAUUUGAUGAGUUUAGUUGUCUUUAUUUAUAAAAUGUGAUUGAUAAUUAUGGAGCUUGAAUAUUUGAUAAUAUGCAUGCCAAUUUGGUAAAGAAAUCAAAACCUUUUUGCGAAGAAGAAUUUUCAAAAAUUCGGCAUAAACUUGGAAUGAUUUGAUUUCUUGAUGAUUUUGGUAAUUGAUGAUUAGAUGUGCGUUGCUUGAUGAAUUGAAGGAGUUAUUGGUUUGUUAUAAUUGUUGAAGCUUAUAUGGAAGUGUUUUUUAAUCACGUUGAGUAUUUGAGAAUUUGCUCAUCUUUAAGGGGAGAUAAAUAUGAUAUGUUUUUGGAUAAAAUCAUUGUGGUUAAAAUUUAAAAUUGGCCAUAUAUUUAGGGGGAGCAUAUAAUAUGAUUUUGGAUAAUAUGCAUUUUGAAUUUUUUUGUUGUCCAAAGGGGGAGACAAACUAAUAUAUCAUUUCAAUGUUAUCAAAAGAGAGGAGAAUAAUAUGCACUUUGAGUAUUAUUUUGAUAAUUGAUAUUUGAUUAUGGUGAUGAUUUUGAUGAUAUUUGAUUAUGGUGAUGAUUUUGAGAUAUAAUGACGAUUUGAUUUCAUGGGUGUUUUAUAUGAUAAAUUUCAUGUUAUGAGUUGUUGAUUUGGUGAUUAAUGGAAUAAUGGUUCAUGAUAUUUUGGUGUGAUGAUUUGUGUAUGGAGUUGGCUUUUAUCAUGAUCUAUAAUAAUUUGGGAGUAAUAUUACUAAUCUUGUAUUUGAGGUAAUGCUUGUUGUUAGGGGGAGAUUCUUUCAAAAUUUCUACUCAAACAACAUGGGUAACAAAUUUGCUACUUUUAUUCUUUUCCUUUACGUUUUUUUUUUAUGAUGAAAUGGGAGAAGAAUACAUGUUUUCAAAUCUAUAAAAAUUUGCUACUUUUGUCUUUGCCAAUUAAGUUUUUCUUUUUGAUGAUGAGGGGGAGAAAAAUCCAUGUAUUUAAAUAUGUUAAUUUAGCUAAUUGGCAAAUUGUAAAAGAAGAUUAUAUUUAGAGGGAGCAAUUUGGGAGCAAUUUGUGGAAUCAUUCUUUAAAUACAUGAAAUGUUUGUCAUCAUCAAAAAGGGGGAGAUUGUUAACAUAUAUGUUUCCAUAAUAUUGAUUUUGAUGAUAACAAACAAGAUUAAGAAUGAUUAAUCUUUUAAGCUCAAAUUAUUUAAUAUUCUUUUUAAAUAAAUCAUUAUUUUCACAUUAUAAAUGUUUUGUAUUUAAUGGAAAAAUGAUUUUAUGAAAUUGAUUGUUUUUAUUCUUUUUAAAUAAUAAAUCAUUAUUUUCACAUUAUAAAUGUUUCAUAUUUAAUGGAAAAAUGAUUUUAUGAAAUUAGUUGUUUUUCAAAGUUUAUGGUUUAAUUGAAAGCAUUUUGAAAACUUUGAAAUAAACAAGUAUUGCUUGAAAUUUUGGUGAAGGACUUAUUUGAAAAGUGUCAUAGCAUUUUGGGCUAUAACAUAAUUUCAGAAAGUUUUGGGAUUAACAAAGUAUUAUUUAGAAAUUCUGAAAUUGGACCUAUUUGCAAAUUUUCAUAACGUUUUGGGUUAUAGUACAGUUUUGUAAAGUUUUGGGGCCAAACUGUAAUUUUAGAAAAUAGUGCACUGUGCAGGUUACUGUAGCAAUCACUGUAGCAAACGGCUAACCGAUAAUUUCCAGAAAGCAUGUUCUGCAAAGUAUUGUUAAAAUGAUGAUUCUGGAAACUAACGGUGAACCGUUUACUGAAAACGGUUAACCGAUUAUUUUCAUAUUGCUAACCUUGAACCGUUUAGUAAGAACGGUUAAACCAAAUUUGUUUCGCAGGUCUCUGGAAAUUAACGGUGAAAGGGUAAGCCUAAACGGCUAACCGUUUAUUUGAAAAUUGACCCAACGGUAACUUUGACCAGCCUAAACGGUGAACCGUUAAUGGUUAACGGCGAACCGUUUUCGUGCAGACAAUUUAUAACGGCUAGUUUUUCAACUCCAACUAUAAAUAAGCUCAAUCCAAUUCAAACAAGAAGCAUUCCAACGAUCAUCAUUGAGCAAAAUAUAGAGAAUACAACUUUCAUUGAGCUUUAAAUCUUUGUAUUCAUCUCAUUCAUUCACACAUUGAGCUUUCACUUGUGAUCAAACAUAUUGUGUGAGAGAGAUUCAUUUGUAAUCUUUUUUGUAAAAUCAAGUUAAAAGAUUGUAAGUGUUGGGAUACACUUGGAUUAAGAGAUUGGGGAUAAUCUCUUGUUGUAAAGGUCCAUUGACACCUUGGAAGUCAAUUGUAAGUGUUUGAAGCCUUGGGAGGCUAGCUUAGUGAAAUCCUCAAGCCCGGUGUGCUUGGAGGCGUGGACGUAGGCGGGGAUUGCCGAACCACGUAAAAAUCCUUGAGUUUGCUUUCUCUUCCCUUACUCAUUUAUUAUUGUGCUUUUACUGAAUUUAUUGUUUUCGAAUUUAUUAAGGCAUUAGAUUAAAUUGUUGUGUGGUUUGCCUAGGAUAAUUUUUAAAAUCCCAAUUCACCCCCUCUUGGGUUGCCUAGUUAGUAUUUCAAUAUUAAUAAAGCAAUACCAAUAAUAGUUUGGAAAAAGAGAAUUCUGUAUUAGAUAAAAAAAAAUGAAUUGUUGAACUAAAAUUGUUUUGUGGGUAUUUCAUAGUAAAAUAGUCCAAUUAAACUUAUACUAAACUUAUACUAAAGACAUUUCAGUGCCCCUAUAGUAUUGGUUGAUUGAUUUUCAAAUAAUUUUAUUUAGCUGAUACCAACUUAAUUUAUAGUAUUAUCAUGCAAACUAAUCAGAUUUAAAUUAUUAAAAUAUCCUAUACUACCAUUACCUCGUCAAUUAUAAGCAGAUUAACAGUUCAAAUUAUCUGAGGGUGCAGAUUGAAGAGCAAUCUUCUUCGACAUAACCCUUCGCCUUCUCCCUCAAGGCUAGCUCAAGGUAUAGUAUUCUUUUACUUUUUCUUAACAUUAUAUAAUCUAUACCCUUGUAAAUAAAAAAUGGAGCCAUGUAUCUUGUUUAAAUUUGGGAUGUGCCAUUCAAGCAAAUCAAUUUGUAAUUUCGUAAUUCAUAACUUAAACUCUAUAUAUAAUCUCAUAACAUGUAUAACUAAUUUAACUCACCGAGUUAAUUAUCUUAAAUUAAUUUUCCUUCAAUUCUUUCUCAUCAAAACUAUCUUUUCUAGCUCCUGCCAUAUACUUUCCUUAUUCAUGAUUUUUUUCUUAAUAUUUCAUAAUUUAUACCCUGUAAAUUAAAAAUGGAUCCAUAUUUCCUGUUCAGCUGAAUUAAUAUCUGUCAUGCGAUACAAGUAAAUUUGGGACCGUAAUUCGUCAGUGAAACUUGAAACAUAUUCUCACAUGUUGUAUAACUCAGUAAACUCAUUGAGUUAAUUUUCUCAAACUAUAUAUUUUCCUUCAAUUCCUUCUCGGUCGAAACAAAAUUUCCUAGCUCCUGGCAUAUACUCUCCUUAAUCUUAUAGAUUCACUAUUAUUAUUUUCUGGCUUUGUUAUUGUUGACUUAAUGAAAUCACUGAUAAAAAUGACUGAUGAAAUCACUGAUAAAAAUGACUGAUGAAAUCACUGAUAAAAAUGACUGAUUAAUUAGUUCAUUAACCAUAUAUAAUAUUUCCCCAUGUGAAGAAUUUAUAUGAUUUUCCUUUAGAAUGUGUAAAUAUAUAUCGAUCGAUCGAUUAAGCCAAUGAUCUUGAGUUCUUUCUUCUCCUUGCCUGUAGAGCACAUAUAUUUAUAUUUUAUAAUAACAAUAAAACAAUGCAAAUGACCAUGCACUAUCAAAAACUACAGUAUUGAAUAAAAAUAAACCUUAACCAGAAGAUGGUAUUGAAAUCCAAAAGAAUAAGUGGAAAGCCUCUGUUAAAAGUCUUGGAUGAAGGUUUAAAACAGAUAUUAAACUUCUACACUUAUACCGGAGGGAGUUGCUCCUGCGCUGAUGAAGAUAUGUUGUUAUUAUUAUUUACUUGAAACCAUUCCAAUGUUUUGGAGAAAAUUGGCUUCAAAAUGUCAUGGUAAAGCCAACGACAAGCAACCACGAACUUUCUGCCAUAUUGAUACACAACAAUGAUAAUAACAGCGCAACCCAAUGCAAUGUAGCAAAUGAUUUCAGCAACUGAGUUUUUGCAAAAUGUGGAGAUCAGAGCGACUGCAGAAAGAGAUCCAGAGGUUACAGCAGUAAGGCUCCAAAACUGCGAAGAAUUUGCUUGAUUGCGUUGAGACGUCUUAUCAACUGCAAAUGCAAUAUAGUGAACGAUUAUGGCCACAAGAAACACACACAAACUUACUCUGAGUGUUGAUCAAGGGCUUAGUUGUGCCUUGCACAUUCGCACCCACAACAGCAGCAAGGGUCGGAAUCAGAUAUCCAAAAACUUUUGGGUACGGAAUUGAGGAAAUGAAAUUGGCAUCACUGCAAAACCAUCAAUUUGGAAACAUGGAGAGGUUAGCAGAAGCAGCAAUAAGAAGAAGGAAGGAGAUGUUAUAAGAGUUAUUUUUUUGGGUCCGAAAUGGAGGGAAAUGAAAACUUGUGAUCACUGCAAAACCUUAAAUUUAUAUAUGCCUUGCACAUUUCCCUCUGGAGCAAUGAUGGCAAACCAUGAUUGUUAAAUUCAGAAGCUUGUUUCGUGUUCUGUUUUGUGCACUUUCUGCAAUUGAUCAUUUUGCUGUGUUUUAUCUUUUGAUUUUUUGUGUUAUUUCUUGAAUAAAGGGUGUUGAUUGAUCAUCUGUCACUCGUCCUGUGGUGUAUCUGAAUCUGUUAUUUCUUCAAAUUAUUACUAUAAUAAUAACUAAAUUAUGGUAUUCAUCAUGCUCUGCAAAAACGCAGCAGGGACAACAACUUUGGCAACAACAGCGGCAACAAUAACAGCAGCAGCAGCAAACAACAACAACUUUGGCAACAACAGCGGCAACAACAACAGCAGCAGCAGCAAACAAGCCAAAAAAAAUCUCAUAUAUACUACUGGGCUUAAAUUAGCUCAUAUGUAUUCAUCAUGCUCUUCCAAAACAGAGAGAACAAACUAUAAGGAAAAGUGAAAAUGGUUAAUUCUACAAACCCCAAAAGAAGAGAAAAUAAGCUUACUGGGCUUAAAAAUUCUGAAAUUUAACUUUCUUCAAUUGAUAUAUAUAAAAAAAAGAGGAUUUUGUUAAAAAAAAUUUAUGAUUAAUGCAAGAACAAAUCUCAUACACUAGUCUAACAAGGGACCAUCAAGUUCAAGCGUUUAAAGGUCACAAGAAACUGGUAACCAAGCUUCGGCUUUUUGUUUUGGAAAAAAGAAAUUAAAAAAUAUAAUUUAGCUGCUUUUGUUCCUUCUCAUAGGACUAAAACAAAGAACUAUAACGAAAAGUUUAGUUCAUAAUAACAAAAAAAAAAAAAGGACUAGCUCUGAAAUGCAACUGAAAUCAGACAAACUAAACAAAACCAAACUUAAAAAUGCAAUAAAGUGUACCUCGAAGGAUUAACGUGCUGUUGUUGAAGAUGAAGAUGGCAGAGGCCACUUGUUUGCGUCAUAUUGAAUGCAACUCUUCUUCUGCUUCUUCUUCCCCUCCUUGAUGAUUCUGUCUCUGGUGAACUUGGAGUGGCACUAAAACUUUGAACUUGUGUUUUGGUCGAAUAACUUUUGAAAUUCUUAAGUCGUGUCAUGUUUGGCGAUCCCUCGCGUUGGUGUUGCACUAAAGACACCAACGCCCCAACUGCUGAUCCCUCGCGUUGGUGUUAAACUGACCCCACUCAAUUUUUUUUUGCUGAAAACUGACCUCACUCAACUUUUUUUGUUUCGCAAAACUGACCCCACGCAACUUUUGUCUUUUGUUUCGCAAACUGAUCCCACUCAACUUGGUCCAAGACAAUAUCCAUCUCCCAACUUAGUCCAUGAAUGAAUAAUAUUAGAUAUUCUUAAGUCGUGUCGUGGUUGGCUAUCGGCGUUAACUAUUUAGUAGUCCACAUAUUAAUUCAAAAUUAAUAAUUCUCUUUUCAACAUGAGUUUAGGAUAAAAUACUCUUUACUUGUCUUUCUCUUUUUAUUUAAUCUAACAUUUAUUUCUUAAAUUAGAAAAUAAAUUGCCUAAUUUAUUUAAAGUAGAAUUUUAUAUUAUAUUAAGUAUCAAAAUUUAUUCAUUAACUUAUUUUAACAUGUACUUUAUUUAAGAUUAGUAUCAAAAUUUUAUUAGAUAAUUUAUUUACCUAUAAAGAUCAGAUAAAUUUUUUUUAUUCAAUAAUAUAUUUAACAUACGAAGAUUAAUUGAAAAACUAACUCAAGAAUAAAUGAGAAUUUUUCCUUCUAGUUUUGAGCGAUCUUCUCCAGCUGCACGAAUAAGUAAAUGUUGUAAAAUUUUCCGCUGGGGAAGUUCGUGGAACAUGCGUCGGACCCAGAGAAAAAAAAAAGAGAGAGGCUAUAAUUAAAUUAAACAAUUUUAAAUUUUUCACAUAAUAACCCUUUAUCACCACUUAAGUAUGAAACCAAUUAACUGAUUUGGGCCAAUGGAUUUGGGCUCUACUCCAGCCUUACUAUUUGGGCCAAAUACUACAGCCUUAGAUGUCCAAGUUGCUUGUGCAAGUGCAAAACUUAGGUUGGUAAAAGGACAGCAACGUCAUUCUGCACAAUUUGAACGGACAGAUCGUUUACAAACAAACGACGAACUAGCGAGCCAUCCACACGACAAACGACAUUGUGGUUCGGCCUCAAAUAUGAGAUCACAAUUCAACAUAUAAACUCAAAUAUAUACUUCUUAGUCCCCGAUAAGCCACGCGCUGUGUCGAAGAGAUGUUAUUAUUAGCUCGAAACAAAUUGAAGAUGCUUAAGAAAAAUGGUCUCAAGAUUUUUUGAUAAAACCAACGACAAGCAUUCAUAAAAAAAAAAAAAAAAAAAAAAAAAAAAAAAACUCCUAUAUUGAAACACAUCAAUGAUAAUAGCAGUGCAAAUCCAUGAAAUGUAUAAAAAGUAUCACCAAUUGAAUGUGAAACAAAUGUGGAGGCUAGUGAGACAGUAGAAAGAGAUCCGAAGAUAACAACAAUAAGGCCUCAGAUUUAUGAAGAAUUUGCUUAAUUACAUUGACACUUAUAAGCAGCUGCAAGGGGAAUGUAGUACUAGAUUGUGGCUAGUAGAAAAGCACACAAGCUUACUCUAUGAGUCUCAAUAAAUGGCUUAGUUAUACUUUACACAUUCGCAUACACAACUAUCACAAUGGUUGGAAUGAGAUAUUCAAAAAUUUUAGGGUAUGAAAUUGAGGUUACAUAUUUUCCACCGCUGUUAAAAAAGAAAAGAAAAUCAAUUGACAUGCAUAUAUGUUAGCAAAAGCAUCAACAAUAAGAGAGGCAACAAGGUUAUGUAACUAAGUUGAAGAGUUAUUUAAUUUUUUGUGUAAAUUUAAUUUUGGCCACUAUUUUUUUUUCUUUGUUAACAUCAAAUUAAUCCCAAAAUUUUUAGAAAUAGUGAUCUUUGUUUAUGAUGAUAUUAAUAUUAAAGCAAUUAACAAAAAGAACAUUAAAAAAGAAGAGAAGACGAAAUGUCACCGGAUGGCGAGGACUUAGGUUCAGCUUGUGAGUUCAUUGAGUUUAUUUUUAAUUUUAAUUUUUUCAGAAGAGCAUUAAUUUUUUUUUUAAAAAAAGAAGAAGUUAAAACCGUAAUAAAAGUUUACCUUUUGAAGAUUUGAAGUUGUGAUGAUGAUGAUAACGAUGAAGAUGAAGACGGAAGUGGCAGCUUUGUAUCAUAUUGAUUUUGUAAUGCAGCUCUUCUAUUUCUUCCAUGAAAUGAUGAAGAGCUGCUUGUUAGUUUCUUCUUUAGGUGCAUGAGACUUUUAAAGGUGCAAAUUUUGCUGACGCACAUGCGCAUACUAGCAAAUUUGGACGUACAUUAGCACAUUAACCGACCGGUCGCUGGCCUUUAUUAGAAAGAAAGUGAUCUACGGCGUACAUUAGCAGAUUAACCGACCGAUCACUGGCCUUUAUUAGAAAGAAAGGGAUCCACGGUGUACAUUAGUAGAUAAACCGACCCAUCGUAUGCCUACAUUAGCAAGUACACACACAAAUAUAUUAGCAAGUCAUCCGAACAGACAUUAAUUUAGCUGACCCACAAUCGUGUACUGGCAAAUUUAGGUGUACAUUAGCAUAUUAACAGACCGACCACCGGCACUGACUAGCAGAAAAGUGUCCGCGGCGUACAUUAGUAGAUAAACCGACCCAUCAUAUUUUAGAAAGUCAACAGAUUUUUGCAAAACCUCUUGCAAAAGUCGAUUGCAAACUACUAACGUCGAGGUCACAAAUAAAAUAAUGAAAAUAGAAAAAGAAAAAAAAGGAAAAAAGAGAUAAAAACACUCGGCUUUAAUAUAAUGGAACAAUUAUUUAUAUCAAAAUAUUCUGAAUGAUUUAUUAAGGAAUUUUUUUUUUAAUUUCUAUGUUUUAGAUUAAAAAUUUGUUUAGUUCUAAAAAAUACCCUAAAAUAAUCCUUUUGUUCCAUGUUAUAAUUAAACUUGACAUUUUUUUAAAUUUUUUUAAAAUAUAAGGAUUCAACAAACAUUCGUUCAAUUAAUUAGUCUCGGUCUAAUGAUCAAUCGAGAUAAUGAAACCAUUACAAGAAAUAAUACCAAAGACGGAUAAAUUUGUCAUAAAUGAUUAGUAUUAAAAAUUGUUUAAUUAUCAAGCAAUAAUAUGUUAUUUUAUGCUUAUGUUAUAAUUUAUAUUUGUGUUUAUGUAAUAUAUUAGGAAUUAUUAAUUAUGUUUUAAAUAUAUUUAAUUUUGUGUAUUUUUAUGUGUUUAUUAGGAAAAAUAUUAAUUUUACGUAAUUCGAGACUCCAAACAGAUAAACAGAGGUCAAAUUUGGAUUCCGGAGGCCCGAAAACCUUAAGAUCAGUCAAGAUCGGCUUAAAAUUGGGCUUGUGUAAAAAGAGUUGAUUUUUUCUGUUGACCGAGCACUGAUUGGAUGAUGAAAUGAGUUUACAAUAGAUAUGAGUGCAUGGGAUAGCUGGAAAUUUUGACUAAAUCUCAACCGUUCAUGAUUCAAUGGCCGUAAUUGUGCCACGUGGCAAUGGUUGGUGAAGCAAGUUGUAGGAUCCGAAUCUUUGUAUUUGGGUCGACUCGAUCCACCCAUUAACCUGCCAAAUCUCAACCGUUCUUUGGGCAAAUCGGACGAGUCAAACAAUGCCACGUGUGAUGUUGACUUUUGAAGUUUGACCAGCCAUUGGAUUUUGAUCUAAAGGUUGUGAGGAGCACAUGCAUGAAGCUUAUGAUGGACCGCAACACACUGGAUUAUGAAUUUAUUUUUCUAUAAAUAGAGCCUCAUUUUAUGUUUUUAAUCAUCUCUCUACAACUCUCUUCUUCUCAAAUUCUCUCCAUCUCCUUAUAAUCUUGAUUUUCAGGUGUGUUUUUUAUAUUUUGUAUAAUUAUUUUCAUAAAUAAAAUUAGUUUUAUUUUCAAUUUUAGUUGUUUUUAUUAUUUUUAAUUAUAAGUAAUUCAAUUUUAAUAUUUCUUUUUAUUUCAAUUAUGCUUAACUAAAUAAUAGUAGUUAGGAGAAGGUGAAACUCUUAGGAAAUAAAUAUGAUCUAAGCAAAUUCUAUUUUUAAUUUUAUAAAUUAAAUUAUUUUCUAUUUAAUUUUAUACAUAUUUUAUAUUUUGAAAUUUUGAUUUAUUGUAGACAAACAAAUUUUGGCACAACAAAUUCUUAAUAUCUUAAUAUAAGGUAUGGUAAAAUGGUAUUUUGACUUAUUGUCGACAAAUUAAAUUUUGACACAAUAAAUACUUAAUCCAUCAUAAAAUUAAAGGGAAAAUAAUAAUAAUUUAUAUAAUUAAUCUUUUGGGCAAUAAAUCUAAAAAAAAGGGCAAAAAGAAUUUAUUAAAUUUUAUUUAGUACUAAGAGUGGAUCCAUAACCCUAACUAGUUUAAUUUCAUAGUUUCAUUUAAAUUAAGUUGUUUUUAUUCAAGUUUUAAUUUCAAUUUUUAGAUAAAAUAAAAUAAACAAAUUAAAUCUUUUCUCUGUGGAUCGACCUCGUACUCACCGAGCUAUAAUACAACAAGACACUCUUAUACUUGAGAGUUUAAAAUUACUUUUAAGUUGUGUCAAUAAACAAGAAAUCUGGUCAGAGAUGGAGAAAUAAUUUCUUGGAUCAACCAUCUUUCAUAAUUUUUGCCAUUUCAGAUAUGCUACUUGCACUAUUUUUUGGUUCCAUUACUUUAGUUCUAAUGUUCUUCAACAUCCUCGCUUCACACUAUGCAGAAGAGGAUUUUCUUUUAUCUUUAUCAAUGAAGUUAAUUAUAUAUUGGCAUCAUCACCUUUUCUCUUUUCUAUUGCAAACAUGAUGUUAGCCUUUGUUGUGCAACCAUUUAUAUAUCACUUUUGACCCUUGUAAAUGUUGGAGAAAAAUCAUUUUUUUAAAUUUUUUUUUAAAAAAACUUUUAGGACCAAUCUCAUACAAUAUAUAGGAAUACGUAAUCUAAAAAUCGUACCUUGAAAAUCUAAGAAGAUGACCAAUCUUUGAUUUUUCCACUUAAGUGAUUUAGGAUCCCAGAUCAUGAUAUGUCACCACAACUCAUGUUAGAUCACGAUCCGCCACCAAAUAAUCUUUCAAGUUAUAACUUAGGUUUGAUCUACACUUGACGUGUGGACGCCUUUAUCACCAAUAAAAGCAACUAGAAGGAGAAAAUUUUUUCCUCUUAAUUUUAGAGAGAAACAUUCUUUUUCUCUAUCUUUUUUCUUUAGAGAAAAUAAGUCUUUAUAUCUCCUUUAGUGAAAACCCUCGGCUCCAAAUAAUAAAAAUCAAAAGUCACGUUACUUGCUUUUUCUAUAGGGGGCCCAUCUUGUAAAAUAACAUAAGGUCUCUUAUACACAAGCAUAUUAAAUGGAGCCUCCCACUAAAUGAUAUAUUUAGGCUUUUAACCCAAAUAGCUAGUAUCUUACAUAUUAAUCCAGUAGUGGUGCAGUCAAUUAAAUGAGCUAAUCCGGGGAUCAUUUGGGAAUAUACAAUAGUGGCUACAACAAUUAAGCCUGUAAUUAAACAAGCCUAAUCAUUUAAUUCUAACUCUACUCCCCUAUAAGAUUGGAACUGACCUCCAUAAUUGUAUGUUCGGAUAAUAAUUCGUCCCAAGUCACAUUGAUUUCUUUACUGCAUAAUCAUUUUUUAGUGGACAGUUUGCCGAUCCCAACUCUUUCUUGCUUAUUCUUGUCUUUCGACUUAAGCCUUGAAGAGAAUCCUUUUUUCAAGAAGUUUUCAGCUAUGAUAAAAUUCUUCUAUAGCAUGUAGUUCGUGCAUUAACUGAAUUAAGGUCAUAUCUUUAUUGUUUAAGAUAUAGCUGACCUUAAACUCUUUGAAUGUAUUAGGGAAAGAUUUAAUCACCAUGUUAAUUUUUGUUUUAUCAUUGAUUUGAACACCAUGAAUCUCUACCUCAUUCAAAUAGUCCAUCAUUUUGAGGACAUGAUCACGAACUCUUAUACCCUCUUCCAUCUUAGUAUCUGUUAUACGUUUUAAUGCUGCUUCUCUAGCAAAAUGAGUAUUUUGCCCAAACAUCUGAUGAAGACUAGCAAUUAUUUCAGAGGUUGUUUCCAUGCUCCGAUGUUUCUUAUGCAGUUCUAUAGAAAUCGAAGCCAAUAUAGAGUGCUUAGCCAUUUUGUUAGCCAUUUCUCAUAUGAGAUUGCCAUAUAGGUUUCUCCCAAUAACAUGUAUCUCGCUGGUAACUUAGUUACCCUCCCACUACGACGAGGUUCUAAAAGUGAUUGUUGUUCAGGGAUAAUCCUGUGUUGAUCAGCUGGUUGUUGUUCUUCUUCCUGUUCAAUAACAGGUGUUGAAAGUUGAGCAUCAACAUGAUCUCCUUUUUAUUUCUCUAGUUUUACCUUACUCUUAGGUUAUAAGUCAUUAUAUAGUAUUCCUCAAAGAAAAUAAAGAAUAUGUCUAUAAAUACAUUCCUAUCUUGAGGACUAUAAUUCAGACUUUCCCUUAUUCUUUUAAGAUACCUAAAACAUGUAAGCUUCUGAACACGAAUCCAUCUUCUCUACCUCUGAUUCUAGUACACAUACUGGUAAACUCCAAAUAUGAAUGUGUCUCAAACUAUGUUUGCGACUUUUUUAUAAUUUCUUAGAGUAGUAAACACCGAGAUAGAUGAAACUAAGUUCAAUAAACUUUGCAGUUUUAAACACCAAUAUCUGGAAUCAAAAAGGUAAAUGAUAAAUCACUUAGUAUAUAUCUUGUAUUAUCCAAAAAAAUAUUGUUUCUUCAUUUAAUUACACUAUUGUAUCAUAGUGUUAAUUAUAUGUGGGAGUUUAUCCCAUUUGACAGCCAAAUGGAGCUUGAAUUCUCUAGAGAAAUAUUCUUUGUUUCGAUCAUAUCGAAGUUCUUUUAUGUUCUUGUCUAAUUGCUUCUGUUUUAUCCAUGUACCCUUUUGAAUUUCAAAAGCAAUGGAACCAUAACACAUUUAGACAAACAAAAAUGAAAUGAAUAUUCAUCAACAAGAUUAAUAGAAUACUCAUAACCUCUUAUAACAUGUAAACUGAUUAGUCUGUAUACAUUUGUAUGCGUUAAAUCAUCUAAUACAAUGUUAUGCUUUUAGCUCAAAAAGAGCAUUCUCGUCAUAUUACUUUUCUAAAUAAGAUUCAUAGAGAUAUAAUGAUCAAUCUUAAUAGGCCAACAAGCCUGUCAUUAAUCAUUUUCUUAAAAUCUUAUUAUAGUUUAUAUAACUUAAGCGUAAAUAUCAGAGGUUUCUUUUCUUGGAUAAAUGCAUAUACUCUUUAUCAUUAUAUCUUGCUUUGAAUAGAUCAAUAGACUUAUAUGAUAUAAAUUGUCUUUAUAAAGAACCAAAAUAAGUAAUAAACAGAUUAUAAAAAAAUAACAGUGAACUCCUGUUUAUUAAAACAAGCCACCGAAAUUAAAUUCCUCUAAUAUUUGGAAUAAUAAAGACAAAUAUCAAAUCUAAAGUCUCGUAAAAUUGAUCUAACCUUUCAAUUGAUAUAAAUUAGCAUGUCUUCAGCUGUUGUUUGAAGCUUUCUUCACUUAAUCUCUUGGUUUCCUAAAAACCAAAUAAAUAAAUUACAAAUAAGUUUAGUUAUCUCAGAAUUCACUAUUGCAUGAAUAAAUAGAAAUCUGAACUAAUUAGGAAGCUUAAAGAAUUGCAUGAAUCAUAAAAUAACGCUUAGCCAUUUUGUUAACUUCGCACCAUUUCUCAUAAGGCUCCCUCUGAUUUCUAUAAUCGUAUAACGUUAGUUUUGGAGGGCAUGACUGGGUCAACACAUAUUUCCAAUCUAAAUAAUUUUCGCCAGUGAGUUCAUUUUUAACAAGGAUAAUUAACAAUGGGUUGAUGGAAGACAUUUUCUGAAAAAACAAAAUAGACAUGCAUAAACACUUUGAAACAAUAUUUACAAUAAAUGAAAAAAAUGCAAAAAAAAAAUGCAUUUAAAUUUAUUGUAACGAUAAUCUAUUACCGAUUUGACAAGCUUUCAUGUCUAUACUUACUAGACCCAAUUAUCUAUUGGAUUAUUUACUUUCAUGUAGAAACAUGAUAAAUAAUUAUCGUUAUCCUUUUGAGCCUAAAUUUGUUAACAGAGCUUCAUUGGGAAGGUUAAUAACAAAUUUUAGUUGAGUGUAUAACUAUUAUUUCAAUUUACGUAUUUUUCAUUUCAAUAGUCACCGUUGGGGUGAACAAUCAAUUGAAAAAUAUUUCAAUUUUAUCUUUGAAGAAGUUCAUCAAAUAAAAUGUAUAAUAAAUAUACCCUCCGAAGGGAGCAUCACCGUAUCAUGAAGUCGAGGUAUAUAUAUAAUUUUGUUAUUGAACUAACAAUGGAGCCCGUGGGAAAAAUUAUCUUGAAUUUUCCCUCUCCCACUCAAUAUUUUAAAAUUGGUUUUUCUUUUUAAAACAUACAUUAAUUAUAUUGUUAAUUGCAUGCUUCCCAUAAUAUUAUCUAGAUGAUAUCGAAUAUUAUUAAGCAUAUGCAAAUUUCAAACAAUAUAAUGAGAUUUACAAUUAAUGAAUGACAUGUAUCAUUAUGCAUAGAGUGGCACUACUUAUUCUAUAUGACAUGUUAUCAUGGCAUGUUAUCAUGGCAUGUUAUCAUUCAAAACACAACAUAUAGAAAAAUAAUUAAAUAAUCUUAAUUCAUGGCUUUCCUAAAAUGAAAAAAUACAUUAACCCUAAGCCUAAUCUUCAUUGGGCUUCUUGUCAAUGUCCAUAUUUCAUAAGUCUGUCUUUGUUAACAGACUAGGAAAAAUUGUGCUUUUAAAUUUAUUAUUGGUCCAAUUUUAAUUUUGAAAGAAAAUAAAUAAUUUUUAAUUUAAAAAAAAAACCUUUGGAUCAAAAUUAAAUUUAAUGUGUUCAAUUUUAUCUAUGUAUUUUAAUCAAUUAAGCCCAAAUUUCAAUUGGGCCUAAAACUAGGAUUCAUUAAGCUCAAAACUAUUUUGGGACUUAAAUGCAAAAAUGUGAACCUUAUCUACCGGAAAGAAAAAUUAUGAAACCAUAGGGAUCUCAAUGAUAAAAACCAUUGAAACCCUAAAUCCAUCUUUUUCUCUCCCCUUCUUUCCCAACCGCCAUCACCACGAAAAACCAACCCCUGUUCAGAGACGUCACUGAUCUCUAACGCCGAUUUGAGCAUCGCCACCACGCCGGAUGGCCACCAAUCGACACUCUCUGCUAGGGGUGUUCAGAAUCCAAUCCGAUCCGCUCAAUCUGUCUGAUCCGCUGAAUCUGAUCCGUAUAAAUCCGAUCCGUGGAUUGGUGGAUUGGAUAUGGAUUGAAAAUUUAAAAAUCCACAGUCGAAGGAUUGGAUAUGGAUUUACUUCUGUAAAUCCGCAGAAAUCCGUGAAUUCGCAAAAAAAAAAAAUAUAUAUAUAUAUAUAAUUAAAAAAUUAUUAUAAAUUUAAUUAAAAAAAUUAUAAAUGUGACAUUGCAUAGUUACUAAGCACUAUAACAUAUCUUAGUCAUUACCCAAUAAUAAUAAAAAAUAAAAAAUAAUUAAAUAAUCAAAUAUACAAAUAUAACUUGUAAAAAUUGUAAAACAAAAUAAAAGCAAAGUCACACGCACUAACAAAAUCAAAGUAACAUAACGCCAAGUCACCAACAAUUUGCAAACAAAAAACCCUAAGCUUCCCCGCCGUCACACACACUAGCAACACUCAAUACUGGUUGGAUACACUCUCGACACGGAUUUAAGGAAAUCGGUCGCGCGAUUCCGGCGAGAGCAAGCCAUCUUCUUUCCCAAGUCCAUCGAGCCACUUCACAUUCACUGGUUCCAGCUGAACAAUUUCACUAUCACAACCUUCAAGAUUGCCACCUGUACGACUUCUCCUGGUUCCCAUCGUGGAUGGCUCCGUAAUCACCACUUUUCGACAGGCGCAACAGCCCUGGUGAAGGAUCAGACUGUGUUUGGUUUCCGAAACUUCGCCAUUUCAAUUAAUUGUGGCUUUAUUUGAACAAUUAAUUUCGGUGUUAUAUUAACGUAUUAUUGUAAUUUUAUUUGAACAAUUAAGCUUGAUGUGUUAUAUUUUGAAACUUUGAAUAUAUUAUUGUAGCUUUAUUUGAAUAAUUAGUCUCGAUGUGUUAUAUUUUGAAACUUUAAAUGUAUUAUUUUAGCUUUAUUUAAACAAUUAAUUUAUUUAAAUUUUAUUCAAUUUUAAAUUUAAUUGGUAGCAAAAUUAUUUUUAUAUUAGAUUUUUUUAUUUCAUUAGUUGGAGAGAACUAAAAAUUUUUAAUUCGAAAACUAAUGCGCAAAAUGGUGGAUUGCAUAUGGAUUGAGUCAAAUCCGCAUCCGAUCCACAGACGUAUGGAUUGAGUCAAAUCCGUAUCCGAUCCGCAGAUGUAUGGAUUGGAUUUGGAUUGAAUUUUAUCAAUCCGUGGAUUGGAUUGGAUUGAAAAAUUAUAAUCCGUAAAAUCAUGGAUCGGAUAUGGAUUGAUGUCCAAUCCGUAAAAUUCAAUCCGUGAACACCCCUACUCUCCGCCAUCAGCCUUCGCGUGCGCGUGUCCAGGCCUUACCCGCACCGUUGGUAGGCUUGCUUGUAGCUACAGGACGUGCAGCGCGCGCCGCUGGCUGCGCUCCUUGCUGCUGCAGCGAGUGCGCUGGUUGGUGCCGCUGAAAUUUCCAGCCUUCAAUUCUUCAAUCUAUCGUCCCGUGAUUAAUCUCCAGUGAUUUACAAAUUUCCUAAGAUAAUUUUGGCUUACAAAAUUUCUAUUACAAUAAAUAAAUCAAAAGGAAAACAUGAUGAUAAAAAACCACCCCUCUUAUUACAGAUCCAAACGAAAAAUACAGUAGAUAAUCUAACCAUGAAUUAAGAUAAAUCAUAACAUGCUUUAUUCAUAUAUUAAACAAUAAUAUAUAUUUGAAUAAAUUAUGCCACUCUAAUACAUAAAUAUUAAGAUUGAUUUCAUAUGAAAUUCUUAUAUAUCAAUAUGAGAUGGCCCUGAUACUAAUUGUUGGAGAAAAAUCAGUUUUUUAAAUUUUUUUAUAAAAACUUGUAGGACCGAUCUCAUAAAAUAUAUAAGAAUACGUAAUCUAAAAAUCGUACCUUGAAAAUCUGAGAAGAUGAACAAUCUUUGCUUUUUCUGCUUAAGCGAUUUAGGAUCCUAGAUCACGAUCUGUCACCACUACUCCUGUUAGAUCACGAUCUGCUACCACUACUCCUGUUAGAUCACGAUCUGCCACUAAAUAAUCUUCUAGGUUAUGACUCAAGUUUGAUCUGCACUUGACGUAUGGACGCCUUUAUCACCACUAAAAGCAACUAGCAUGAGAAAAUUUUUCCUCUCAAUUUUAGAGAGAAAAAUUCUUUUUCUCUGAUCUGUAUAUUGCGACUCUAUCUUUUUUCUUUAGAGAAAAUAAGUCUUUAUAUCUCCUUUAAUGAAAACCCUAGGCUCUAAAUAAUAAAAUCCAAAAGUCACGUUACUUGCUUUUUCUAUAGGGGGCCCACCUUGUAAAAUAAAAUAAGGCCGCUUAUACAUAAACAUAUUAAAUGAAACCUCCCACUAAAUGAUAUAUUUAUGCUUUUUGACCCAAAUAGCUAGUUAUCUUACUUAUUAAUCCAGUAGUGGUGCAGUCAAUUAAAUGAGCUAACCCGGGGAUCAUUUGGGAACAUACAAUAGUGGCUACAACAAUUAAGCUUGUAAUUAAACAAGCCUAAUCAUUUAAUUCCAUCUUUACUCCACUAUAAAAUUGGAACUGACCUCCAUAAUUGUAUGUUCGAAUAAUAAUUGGUCCCAAGCCACAUUGAUUUCUUUAUUGCAUAAUCCUUUGUACCACAUCGUUAAUUAAAUCGAUAUCUCAACUGUCCAGUCGAUUUAAUUACAUCUUGUUCCUUGAUACUUACUGGUUUUCUCUAAUGAUUAUUUUCAAGAUACUAAAUAUAUUGACACAUUCUGGCCAGAGAAUUCUAUGAUCAAGUGCCGAAAAACCAUCAAGAGAUGUGUCGUACAAAUUCUAUAUUGUUAAUCUAUAACUCUAAUACUUAUAAUUGCUUCCACCAAGAUACCGGGUAAUCUUGACCACAAGUGUGUGCCGUGCCCAUUGGUAACUCAAAUAGAAUAACAAUUACAAUCAUAAAAUUAUAACUAACUCAAGAUUAAGAUUACAGUAAAAUCAAUGCCAAUGAGAUUUAAUAAGUCUGACAGUCAUUUCAAGGUUAAUUAAAAUCUCAUAUGUAAUCAUGAAAUUAUAACUAACUCAAGAUUAAGAUUACAGUAAAAUCAAUGCCAAUGAGAUUUAAUAAAUUUGACAGUCAUUUCAAGAUUAAUUAAAAUCUCAUAUGUGAUCCAACUUAAUGUAGUCAAACUACAUCAAUAAAUGCAUACAUGAUUAAGACAAAUCAUUCAAUGAAUUUACUACAGUCUAAACAUAAAUAGAACGCCCAACUCUAUUUAUCAACUGCGAACUUAAUUUAUUUAAUCAUAAGAUAACUUGUAUUUAUGUCUUCUGUGAAUCCAUAUAAAGAUCACAUAAAUACAUAUAAUAUGAUUAAACGAACCUUAUUCAAUAUAUUUAUGCAAUUGAAAAUAUUUCAAAUAUUUUAUUAUUCAGAAAAUAAAUUAAUAUGCUUUAAAAGAGCACAUAAUCCCAACUGUUAAGAUUUCGUUGGCUUCACUUGACUAAUUGAGAGAGAUUAUUUCCUUAUAUGUGGCUGAUUUGUAAUCUCUUUGAAUAUGGGAUCGUUAUUUGCUUUCCCUUGUUUUGUGAAUAUUUGCUCUUGUAAACUUAUAUAUAAAUACUCUGUAAUUCUACUGCAGAACAUAUAGAAGAAUAAAAUCAGUAUUCUUUUCAAAUGUCAUUUUUUCAUGGUAUCAGAGAAAUGGUUUUGAUUCGGUAAAACACUUCCGCUUCUUUUUUUUUUAUGGAUGAUAUUGAUAUUGAUAGUGAUAGCAGUCACAAUCAUUCACCAAAUCAUAUAUCUUCUCCUGCCCCUCCUAUUCGUAAAAGUGAUCGUGUCAGGCAACCAUCUGUUCUCCUUCGUGACUUUCAUUGUGGACAGAUUAGUACAACACCAUCAACUGCAACUUCAAGUCAGUCAUUUUCAACUAAGUCAGGUACUCAAUAUCCUUUAAGCCAAUACAUUUCCUAUGAUUCUUUGUCUUCUACUCAUAAACACUUUGUUAACACCAUUUCAAGUGUCCUAGAACCAACCUCUUAUGCUCCGGCGGUAUUGGAUCCGAAAUGGAAAGAGGCUAUGCAACGUGAACUUGAUGCUCUCAAUUCACAUAAGACAUGGUCCUUGGUCCCUUUACCUGCUGGUCAUCGUCCCAUUGGUAGCAAAUGGGUUUAUCGUAUCAAAUACAAUUCUAAUGGUACGAUUGAACGUUACAAAGCUCGAUUAGUCGCCAAAGGAUUUUCUCAACAAGAAGGCAUGGAUUACACUGAGACAUUUGCUCCUGUGGCUAAAUUGACCACUGUUCGUUGUUUACUUGCUGUGGCUGCUGUAAGACAUUGGCUAUUGUAUCAAAUGGAUGUGACCAAUGCUUUUUUGCAUGGUGAUUUAGAAGAAGAAGUAUAUAUGACUCCACCACCGGGACUUUGUCGACAGGGGGAGAAGCUUGUUUGUCGACUUCAUAAGUCCCUUUAUGGGCUUAAACAAGCUCCUCGCAAUUGGUUUGCAAAAUUUUCUCAUGCUGUCAAGAAAGCUGGCUUUAUUCAAUCACAUUCGGAUUACUCGUUGUUUGUGAAGACAAAAGGCACAUCUAUAACCAUGGUUCUUAUUUAUGUAGAUGAUAUGGUGAUAACUGGAAAUGAUGCAGUCGCUAUACAUAAUCUCAAACAAUUUCUUCACCAGCAAUUUCAUAUCAAAGAUCUCGGUCUUCUUAAAUAUUUUCUUGGGCUGGAAGUUGCAAGGUCCAAAGCAGGUCUUGUUAUCUCUCAACGAAAAUAUACCUUAGAAAUCAUAGAUGAUGUUGGAUACUUGGGUGCUCAACCGGUAAAUUUUCCCAUGGAGAUGAAUUUGAAGCUCACAAACCAUCAAGGUGAUUUGCUGCAUAAUCCAACUCGCUACAGGAGAUUAGUUGGCCGACUAAUAUAUCUCACAAUUACGAGACCAGACAUUACAUACUCAGUUAACAUCUUAAGCCAAUUUAUGCAUGCUCCAAGAAAGCCUCACUGGGAUGCUGCUCUUUGUAUUAUUAAAUAUUUAAAGGGCAGCCCUGGUUUAGGUUUGUUAUUCUCCUCAAGCAAUUCCUUUACUUUAAAGGCUUACUGUGAUGCUAAUUGGGCAAACUGUCCUAUAACAAGAAGAUCAACAACAGGUUCUUGUGUGUUCUUAGGAGAUUCUUUGAUUUCUUGGAAAGUAAAGAAGCAGAAAACAGUCUCAAGAUCAUCAUCAGAAGCUGAGUACAGGUCCAUGGCAGCAGCAACCUGUGAGCUCACUUGGCUUAGAUUUUUAUUCAAUGAUAUGCAAAUUUCCAUAGGACCAGCAAGGCUAUUAUGUGAUAACCAAGCUGCUCUUCACAUAGCAGCAAAUCCGGUAUAUCAUGAACGCACCAAACACAUAGAUCUUGACUGUCAUGUGGUAAGGGAGAAAAUACAAGAUGGUCAGAUAAUCACCAAAUUUGUUCCAUCUCAUUUACAAUUGGCAGACAUUUUUACAAAAGCUCUUGGAGGAAAGGUGUUUAAGAGGCUAACAACCAAGUUGAACAUGCUAGAUAUACAUGCUCCAACUUGAGGGGGAGUGUUAAGAUUUCGUUGGCUUCACUUGACUAAUUGAGAGAGAUUAUUUCCUUAUAUGUGGCUGAUUUGUAAUCCCUUUGAAUAUGGGAUCGUUAUUUACUUUCCCUUGUUUUGUGAAUAUUUGCUCUUGUAAACUUAUAUAUAAAUACUCUGUAAUUCUACUGCAGAACGUAUAGAAGAAUAAAAUCAGUAUUCUUUUCAAAUGUCAUUUUUUCACCAACAGUAAAAACAAUCCAAACAAGACCUUAGUAAUGGUACGUAUAUGUUGAUGUUCCAAAAUAAUUUAAAGAAGAACUUAUAAUUACAUCAUAAACACCAAGAAAGGAUAAUAAAUAAACACACACAGUCUUAAAGUAGUUUCUUUUCUUGUUAGUUAUUUUAAAUAUAUAUGUUUGUAAAGAGUGAGAAGAGGAAUGGUUGUGGUGGCGGUGAUGGCUACAAUGUUUAUUCUCUUACGUACAUAUAGUGAUUGGUUUUUUUAGAUUGUGUAGGUUUCUCUUUGAGGUGCCAAUUUAGUUGGCUCACAUGCCGGUACAUAUACAAAUUGCAGCUCCUGACAAAUUUUGAUAAAUUAAUAUUUUGAGAAUAAAAAAUCUCUUAAUUCAAAGUAUGCUAAUUAAUUGAUAUAAUUAUGCUUUCCUUUUAAAUCAAAAUCUUGGUUUCACUUUUAUUGUUUGAUAAACUGCAUGUGGCAGUAUGAGUUUUAAAAACUGAGUGCACGUAAAAGUAACUAAUGAGGUUUCGUGUAAUUCAUUAUAUAAUCAAAAAAUAUAGACUAUUGAUUUAAUACAUACAAGAAUUUUGAUAGUAAUGCACAUGUAAAUGAGAAUUUUCCACAAGAAAAGACAAAAACUGUAGCAUCAAAAUUUGUCAAGUCCACUAUCAUGGGGCCAUUCUCACCUGCUUGCUCAUUAUUGGGGUCAUUCUCACCUGCUUGCUCAUUAUUGAAUUUCUACACCCUUCUCUUGCUCAAUAUACGAGAAAUUUGAUUGUAACGCAGAAAGAGAGAAGAUGAGGGAAAUAUAUUACAAAGACAAGAAACAUGGCCGUCAUCCACAGGUAUGUCUGUGUAUAUAAUUUUCUUGUUUUUGAAAAAAAAAAAAAAAAAAAAGCUUACUUGAUUUAUGUAUUUACCUUAGCAAAAUUUAUUGAUUUAUGUAGUAAUAUUAGUGUGUUACCAUCCUGGAACUGGGAGUUAAAAAAAUUAUUGAUCAUGCACAGCCAAAUGGUAUUUUUUUUUUUUUUCAUUGUUCUAUUUUUUGAAGUGUUGUAUUUUCAUUGCACUUUGCACACUAUAAAUCAUGGAAAAUGAAUAGCCUACACACUAUACUUUUGAAAUACCUGUUAUUCAAGGGGAAAAAAUGAUUAAAUCCCAUUUUUUAAAAUAAAAAAUAAUCAAUUCUCUCUCACAAUUCAUCAAAAUAUUCAUGUUGUUAACCAAAAACAAAAAAAAAACUUAUGUGAACUUUUAUCUCUUUUUUGUGAUUUUUUACUAAUAUAUCCCAGAUUUUUUCCUUGAUUAUUGGUGGAUUUUAUCAUAUCAAAAGCAAAAUACUAAAAAUAUACAACCAUAUUUUGAAAUUAAAGUUAAUAGGUUUUUUUCUUAAACAACCGAGAAUUUUGAUUAUUUUCCCUAAAUCAAUAUUUUAGGCCAAAUGUGGUAAUUGAAUUAAAAAUAUAUAUAUAGUAACAUGUGUACAAUAGAUAGUACAAAAAACAGUACACGAUCACUAUAGGAUAAAAAAAUUUCGCUGCAUAACAAAAGAAAACUUCACUACAAAAUAUUUUUUUUAUCUCUCACAAAAUUAUUGUGCACACAUCAUUAUUCUUAAAGUAUUGUUAAACUAAUUAUGUAAUUACCACGAUAGACUAUUGAUUUAAUAUUUGCUAGAAUUUUGGUUGUAAUGCACAUGUAAAUGAGAAUUUUCCACACACAUAAAAAAAAAAAGAAGAUAAAAACUGCGUCAUCAAAAUUCGAAAGGGACCAGUGACUUUGCUCAAGUCCACUCUUAUGGGACCACUCUCAUCUCAUAUGCUUCCUCUCCCUUCUCUUGCGUAUUAUUUACGAUAACUUUUACUGUAUUGUAGAGAGAGAGAAGACAAGGCAAAUAUAUUACAAAGACAAUCAUGGCCGCUGCCAUCGUCGUCGUCGUCGCCGCCGCCGCCACCACUCUGACUGCUUAUUAGCCACUGCCGCUGUCAUCCACAGGUAUGUGUCUACAUAUAUAAUUUUCUUUUUUAAAAAAAAGCUUAAUUGAUCUAUGUAUUUACCUUAGUAAAGCCAGUUUAUUAUUUUUUAAUUUUACUGAUUAGUUUUAGUACCGGCUUCGACAAGGUAGGAAAAAAAAUUUUGAUCACGCAACAGCAGAUACUCCUCAGCCAAAUGGUAAUUUUUUAUUCAUUGUUUUCUUUUUGAAGUGCUAUAUUUUUAUUUAUACUUUUGUCAAUAAAUACCUUUUGGAAUAUGUGCUAUUAAAUCCCAUUCGGUUUGUAGAAAUUAAUCAAUUCCCCUCUCACAAUUCAUCGAAAUACUCAUGUUAUCAAAACAAAAUUGUGAACUAUUUUUUUUGUGUUUUAACUAAUAUAUCUAGGUUUUUUUUUCAUUGUUUAAUGGUAGAUUCAUCCCAUUAAAAGUUAAAUAAUAAAAAAAUACAACAAAAAUUUGAAAUUAAAGUUAAUGAAUUUUUUCUUAAACAACCAAGGAUUUUGAUUAUUUUCCCUAAAUCAAUGCAUCCCGAUAAAUGUGGUAUGUAAAUGAAAAAAUAAAAUCUUCAAUAUAAGAUAAAUUGAUCAGUUUAAUACUAACUUGAUGUUUUUGACUGAUACAAGAUCUUCUUUCGAUAAUUAAAAUCAUAAUUUAUUCUCGCUAAGAACUAUAAGAGACAUGAAUGAGAAUAAACAAUAAUAACACUUGAAUGAUUUUUGGUAUCUUGCAUGGAAAAAAUUUAAUUCCUCCACACGUAGCAGGCAAUCGAGCUAUAUUGGCAAUAGUUGUUGGUUGUUUCCUCCAAAUAUAUUCUAAAAUUGCCAAAUCUUCUUAUGAAGCCUCCUGUUGUAAGUAACAAGAAGAAGAACAAAAGCCCACAUAAUAAAACUGAAAUGCCCAUAUGGGUGUGGUAGAAUAAUGGAGACUAACAAGACUAAACAAAGAGAUCCUGAGAUGGCGGUAAUUGUGUUGAAUAGUUGACGCUUUGAUUUCAUGACAACAAAAUAUGCAAAGGCGUAGAUGAGGAGAGCCAACAGAAACAGGCACAUACUCCUUGGGUGUGUUUCGAUCAACAUUUUCUUUUCAUCUUGAACAUUAUUAAUCUCAAUAACUCUGACAAACAAAGGAAUUAGAAAUAUAAAUAGUGUGUGGUAUGGUGCCGAUGAUGAUGGAAAAAUUUCCACACUGCAAAACCAUCAAAAUAAGAUAUAAUUACUUAAUUUGCAUAAUAAAGUUUUACAUUAAUUAAAGUAAUAUACAGUUGCAGUGUAUACUCUUUAGCCCCGCUUUCUCUAUCAUUAUUUGAUGAUGGAUCGUUCUUAGUUUGUCUAUAUGAAGCAACACUCUUUUGUCCCCUUGAUUUGAAGAUUUUUCCCUUUGUUCCAUCAUUUAAUAUUUUAAAUCCUUUCAGCCUAACUAUUUUUACCAUGGCUAAAAUUAUACAAAAGAAAAAGGUUUAAAAAAAUUGAAUUUAAUUUGUCAUUUUAUGGGUCUUAUUGAGGUGAAAUCAUAAAUAUAAAAGAAAGGCUUUAUAAGAAAAAUUGAGGGGUGGUAGAACCAUAGAAGUUAGGUAGCGUUUGUUUUUUUAUUUAAAAUCUAAAUGAGUCUAAAUUUUUCUAAAGUCUGAAUGGGUCUGAAUAAGAAAAUCUGCAUGACAUUUUUGUUUUUCUUUUUUAAAUAUAUGAAUAUGAGUGGCAUCUUGUUUGUUUUUAUAAUUAAAAAAAUAUAAACUUGGUUAUUUGACAUUUACAUUCUUGUAAAUUAAAAAAAAAAAAGAGAAUUAGAUUUUAUAAUUUAGGAAAAAAGUUAUUUUACAGAGAUAUUUUUGGAAUAUAAUAUUUACUUGUCAUUCAGACUUUUUUCCAUUCAGAUAAAAGUAACAAAAGUUUACUUUUUUUAUUCAAAUGUAAAUCUCUAAAAAUCAUACAUAAGUUCCAAAAAACAAACAAACAUAUUUUCUAAAAAAUAUGAAAUUAAUAAAAUUUCAGACUUCAGACAUUUAACAAAAAAUCAUUAUCUUUGUGAAAUUUAAUGUAGAUAAUCUUAGAGUAGUACUUUUCACACCCUUUUAAAAUACUUAUAAGACCCCGCAUUUUGUAAUCGUAGCUCUAUUACUAGAGGAAAUUACACAAAAGGACAAAUGGGAGAUUGUCAAUUUCCCCCUACAAUAAUCAACAUAUACCAUUUUCCCCCUUGCUGUUUUUAUAAUGGCCAAAAACCCCUGAUAGCAUAAGUUUAAAAUAUUACACUUAUUUUCAACUACUCUUUUAUUUAUAUUUAUUAUAAAUUAAAUAAAUCACAUGAAUAGAAACUAAAUAAAAAAUUAAGCAUUAAAAAUAAGAAAUAUAUGUUUUGAUAUGAGCAAAAAAAUUAAUAAUAAAAUUUUUUUCUUGUACUUAUUUAAUUUGUGAAAAUUUUCUUAUAAUAAAUAUAUAAGAAAAUUAUUAUAAAAUGAUAAAAAAAUUAUUAUAAGAAAACUUGAAUGACAAAUAAAAAUUUAUUAUAAGAUAAAUAAUAAAAUAUUUUGCCUAUCUUUUUACAUUUAAUUUUAAAAUAUUACAAAAUAUUUAUUAUAAGAAAAUGUUCACAAAAUAAAUAAUUACAAGAAAAAAUUUUUAUUAUUAAUUUUUUUCUCAUAUCAAAAAAUAUAUUUCUUGUUUUUAAUGCUUAUUUUUUUUAUUUAGUUUCUAUUCAUGUAAUUUAUUUAAUUUAUAAUAAAUGUAAAUAAAAGAGUAGUUAAAAAUAAGGGUAAUAUUAUAAACUUAUGCUGUCAUAGAGGUUUUUUGCCAUUAUAAAAACAGCAGGGAGGUAAAUGGUAUAUGUUGAUUUCUGUAGGGGGGAAAGUGGCAAUCCCCCAAGGACAAAUAUAAAUUUAACUGAAUUAAAAUAUUUUUACACUUAAAAAUCAUGAACCCUCCCAAGUGUAAAUGAUAUAAAUAAUGGUUUCAAAAUCAAAAUAAUUUUGGGGCAAUAAAAUAAUAAAUUAGAUAAUGAUAAGAUUUUUAUUAUAAAAAAUUACGUUUAAUAUUUAAUUAUAAGAGCUAUACAUAUAAUAAGUGGGUGUUUCUUAAGAGUUUUAAUUAAAGAGGUGCUAGGAGCUUAACUCCAAUUUUAAGAAAUUGCAAAACACAAAUUCUCAAAAAAAAAAAAACAAAGGAGAGAGAGAGAGCUAAAAGAAAAAAAAAGAAAAGAAAUUGCAAAACACAAAAUCAAGGGCUUUUAAAGGCUCAGACAAAAAAGACCUAGCCCAUGCCGUGCCAAGCCUUAAUUUUUAUAAUCCUGGUGCAAAUUAAGACAAACUUUUAUGAAGAUGAAACAAAUGACUUUAUAUCAUAUGGUGUUGCAUAUAUACAAACAAGAUCUACGGACAUUGGAAACUGAAAGUAAUAAAAAAUAUCAAGAUAUAUUCUCAAUUGUACGUUUAUCUCUCCACUUCAACCCACAACUUGUAAUGAAACCAAAAUCACAACAGCUUGUAAUGAAACCAAAAGGAAAUCUAUCAAGUAAGCAAAUGAUAUAUAUUUCACCAUCCAUAGCCCUAACCGUAAUUCGUAUAAUUUUGGUGCCAAGACCAAAUUUUGUUAACAUAAAACAAAUGACUUUGUAUCAUGUUGACGCACACAUACAUGAUCGAUAGGAAUUGUAGUGCUUGAAUUUUUUUCCCGCCCGUAAAUAUAUAUUUUACAUAACGAAAGCUGAUCCUUAUUCCUUACCCAAUAGUUCUGCGGUUCUGCCAUUCAUAUGGGUUACAUUGUUGGACAUGAUAAUUAUAAUGUAUCUGUGAAAAGUCAAUAAGCCGGAUCUAUAUCUCAAUUGUACAUCUCUCCAUUAAAGCAAGAUUUUCGGAUUUGUGAUAUUGCAAGGGAAUGUAACAAAAAGUACUAGAAAAAAAAAAUAUUUCUUAUUUUUUAGUAUUUCAAUUUUUUUACUUUAAUUUCUAUUUAUAUGAUUUAUUUAAGUAUAAUAAAUAUAAAUAAAGUGCAUUUAAAUGUAUGAGCAAUAUUAUAAAAUUAUACUGACUAAGCGGUUAUUAAUUAUUAUCAAAACAGUAAAAUAAUAAAUGGUAUAUAUUAAAUUCAGUAGGGAAAUAUUGACAAUGUCCCAACAGUAUAUGUAUAAUAUGUACACUUAGGAGCCAAAAUAAACAACAUAUGUAGUAUUUCUAAUUAAAAUUUAUCUACAUAAUUAAUUAGCCCGCUAACUGCACAUAUUUAAAAUUUUAAAUAAUUUCAAAAAAUUAAAUCCUUUGUGCAUCUUUCCAAACCCAAUGCAAUUUUAAAAAUUUAUACACAAUAAAUUGUAAAUCAUAGUAAAACAUUUAAAAAAAAUGUGUAAAACAUAAAAUUCGGUCUUAAAGUCUCAAAAAAAAAAAAAAAAACCUAGGCGUCCGCCAAGUCAAGUUCUAUCUAGCCUAAGUGUUCAAAAAGCAUGCUCAGAGAUGGACCCAAGUUUUUGCCAUUUUUGCCAAUAGCUCUGCCUUAGGCCUUAAUUUGGAGAAUUUGGUGCCAGAACAUAAAGUUUGUAAUUUGAAACUGUUGAAAAAAUAGUAUAAUAACAUGCUAUUUUGAGGGCAUAUUUUGAGUGGGACUCACUUAGCGAAAGUGAAAAAUCUUGAGAGGUUCGGAUUCUACUCCAUGAACACUUCGAAAGUGUAUAUUUAUUUACUCAAAAUGGUGCUUGGGUGAAUGAAAAAUUAUCUCUCAAAGUGCACCCUCGAAGUUAGAAAUUUGAAACGAGAUGGGAUUUGUCCCACAAGGAAAAAAUAAGUUAAGGAAUUUGUAUUUAUAUAUAGAUACUUAUCCAUGUAUGAGCAAGAAUUUUAAGGAUAAAGACUCUCUUCACACUCGCAUGCUCAAGGGCGGUGCAAAUCAAAGACCGAUUUGGUUGAACUCGUGUGCGCCCGCGCAUUCGGCUUACGCGAAUGUCAACCCAAAAUCACCCAAGCUUGCAUGGCCAAAUUUUUUGAAUUCAAUGGGCUGUUACAACAUUAAAUUGCAUAUGUUGAAUUCGGAAAUUUAAUUUUAUGCUACUGUUACAUACACACAUGUAUAUAAAAAGGCAGCUUCCUCUUCUGUUGCUGUGUUACAGGCCUUGGGUUUAAUUUAUUUGUUUCGUUGUUUUUUUCCUUCUGCUAUUUUAUUUUCAAUUGCUGUUUUUGCUGUUGUUUAAUUCCAGUUGUUGUUCUUGUUGUUUAAUUCUGUUACCAAUAAAAUUCACGUUAAUUAGUUUAAAAUUAACUACUACUUUUAAUUGUUCACUCAGUGCUAUUUUUCUAAUAGAAACAAAAUAACAAGUGACCUUAUAUCAUGUUGCAUCCAUGCAAUUUCGAUCAACGUUGUAGCUAAACCUUUUUUUUUUUAAAAAAAAUUGUAAGUAUAUAUUUUACAGAAUGAAAGUAGAUCCAUACCUAAUAGUUGGUCCAUUCAUAUAGAUUACAUUGCAGUUGCAGUUGGCCCCGCGGCUGAGGUACUAUAUAUUAAAAUCUAUGAAGCAAUGUCAAAGUCAAAAUAUUCAUUUUAUUUUCCCUUCACUGAAAGGACAAGCCCAGCCCUGAUACUGAAGAAGCUUCUUCGUGUGUUCACAAAAUCAAAUUGUUUAUAAAGAAUAUCAAUAAUCACUAAAAAUGAAUCAUAUAUUCAUAUAGCUAAGCGGAUACUAAUUUUAAAAUAUAAUAAAUAAAUGAGUUUUUACCUCAAAAAAUAACUUAUAAUGAAGAAGUUACUCUGUUUAAAACUAGAAGUGCUGUAAAAAAAAAAAAAUCCACAACCCUACAAAGUAGCAAUAACCGAGGACAAGCUUGAAGCCAAAAACUAAAGAACAUAUUGCAAAACAAAUUAAACAAAUAUUUGACUCCGAAGAGCUCAAAUUUAAUUGUCAUGGCAAGGGAAUUUUAGAAAAUAAAAAAAGCUAUACGUACCAAAAUUUGGAAAAAAAAGUCCUUAAAAUAUGGCAAAAAAAAAACUUUAAAAAAUAAUUCCUUUGUUUCUAUUUAUUCUACUACUAGUGGUAGUAGUAAUAUCAGCUGUAAUGAAUCAUCUUUCUUUUUUAUUUUUUCAUCUUUUGAAUUCAUUUGUUUCUUCUAAUUGCAAUACAAACAAUGACUCAGCUAAGGUACAACAGUGGUACCAUACCACUUCAUUUGUCUUUUGUUGCAGACUACUAUAAAUUUUCAUAUAACCCCUUUCACUCAUUUUUAUUUAAACUUUGCUUCACAAAUAUUAGGUUAAUUUCUACUGCAUCCAUAUGAACAUUUUUGUUAGCACCUUAUACUAUUUACUAUUUACAAAUUUUUAUUCUAUAUUACACUUGUAUCACAAUACCCCCUCUCUUUACUAUUUUGAGAUUAAAUAAUUAAUAUGUUUAAUUUAGAACCUUACACUCUUUUUUUUUAAUAUUAAGAUUUUUUUAAAUGCAUUAUCAAAUUUCAUUUAACACUCUACACUCUUUCUAUUAUAAUUUUUUUUAAUAAAUAUUAUAGUACAUUUUACUUACAUGCAUAAUAAAUUAUGUAAUUCCAAUAGUCCUAUUACAAAAAAUAUAUAGUACCACAAAAGACAAAAGAAGUGGUACGGUACCACUAUUGUACCGUAGCUGAACCCUACAAACAAAUUAGAAUAUCAUAAUAUUUUUUCUAUAUUGACAUUUUUUUUUCUUGUUCAAAAAGAGAAAGGAACCACAAUUUCAUUACUUUUAUGACAAAAAGUCAAAGAUAGAGAUUGGAGAUACGUUAAUUGUGAAAUAAACCAAAAAAAAAAUCAAUUAAAAGAAAAGUCAACACCUAAUUUGUAAAAUAGAAAACCCAAUUCAAUAUAAGUGGAGCUUCAAAGAACCACUAUCAUUGUACAAAAUUACUAUAAUUUUACCACCGUUUAUAAAUACGAAAGCACAAAGAUUCAGUCUUUUAUCUAUUAAAAACCUUAACAUGUGUAAAUACUAGAAUUCCGAAUUAGACCAUGAAGUAUAUUUAUUAAGUUGUUAUGAGAGUGAGGCUGUCAGGUGGAGAGAAUGAGAGGGGAAAAAAUUUACUGAGUCAAAAUAAUUGCAAUCCUUCCCUACCAUUUUGUAGUUAACAUAUUUGAUAGAAUUCUAUCAAGUCUUACCAAAAAUAGUUGAUGUCCUUUUUUACUGCUAAUACGGAAUAAAAAAUAAAAGAAUAAAUACAUCAUUUAUCUUUGUCGACAUGGCAUGAUGAUUCCCAUGACAGAGUCCUUUACUAAAUUCACGAGCAAUCAUAAUUUUCAAAUCUCAAGCUUGUAUCUAUUUGUUUUUGUCAAAAAAUUUUAACGUGCAUGAAUCCGUCACAAGACUUUCGUCAGUGCAAAACUUUUAUUAAGAAAAUUCCGACAUGAAGUAUUCAAAAGUAUUGGGGUUGGUUGAGGCUUUGAAUGCUCUUCCAUCAAGUGCUUAUUAACUGCUGCUGCUGCUUGUGCUGUUUUUGGUGCCAAACUUCAUUAUAAUCCACACCAACUUUAAUUCUUUUUUUCUUUUUGUUUUUUCCCUUUUUUCACAAAACUCUUUUGGUUUCUUUGCAAUUUAGCCUUGAAGAGUAGCCUUAAAAGAGGGAGUCAAGAACGCACCAUACAUUGAUAGUUAUUUUUCAUCACCAUUUUCACUUUACAAACUCAGCUGGAACCCAAAAAAAAAAAAUUGUAUGGUUCGGGUAUUGACUUCUGUUCAUGGACAUCUAUUUUUCUAUAUUUUGAAUUAAUUACUCUUUAUUUAUUGUAAUUAAAUCUUUACUUUUUCUCUUUCCCUUUCAAUAAUAAUAUGAAGUCGAUGUGUGCAAAAGAAAACGGCCAAAGUCUGAUCAAAAGUAGGGCCAUAAUUUGAAAGAUUAAUGGUAGGUAGCAUAUCAACCUACCAUUUUAAUCAUUUAAGCAGAACAUAUAAAAAUGCUUGCUGCGUCUAUUACAAUUCUUUUUCCAAAAUGGUUUUCAAUGUAAAUUGUUAAUUUUUUUAAUAGAAUUAAAACCAUUCUGUAUGUAUCAUAUGUAGCCUUUAAAUAUUAUUAUGACCUUUAUUGCUUUAAGCCCACUUCUUGCCGCUGUUAGCGAUAAGUUGAAAAAAGUAAUGGUUCCUUUUUAUCCACGUUACACAUUACAUUCGUUCAAGAAUCUAGAGAUUACUUAACCGUGUUGUAAUUCAAGAGUGGUGUCCAACUUGGCCUAGUGGCAGCUUCUUAAAGCAAGAGUUUGGCCCAGAGGAUUGUUGCUCUCCACCAGAUGCGUUUGGUCUUAAGCUGAAUUCGCUUUUGUUGCCAAGUUCCAAUGAAAAAAUGUAACUAAAAAAAAAAAAACCCGAUGAUUGAAUCUUUGUGGAAAAAUGAUCUGGAUGCUAUGCUGUUGCAUAGUGUGGUUUAGUUAAUUAUCCACAACAAAAGAGUUAUAAAAAUAUGUUACGUGUCCCAUUGCUUACCAUACAGUGCAUAAAAUUACUUAUUGAAUCAUUUUUUGGCAUCCACACUUAUUAUAUAUAGAAUAACUAAUAUUUUUUUAUAAUGGUUAUUCAAACAGUAAAAAUUGCCAAAAUUUUUGAGUAAAAUGGUCGUUGUUAUUCUUGUUAAAGAGAAUGCUAGGUAAAAAAGAUAAAGCAUAAUCACUACGUAAUUAAUAGAUAAAAAAAUUAAUAUCAUUAAUUAGAUUGGAUGUUAACUGGAAAGGAAGCAUAAGCAACUAUUUUAUUACUCUUUAGAUUUUUUUCAUAAGCGUUUGAGAUUCAUGCACGUGCGAGGCAUAUGAAAAGCAUUUAAAAUUACAUUUGUUUGACAUCAGCAUCAGCGGUCAGCAAGGUGGGGGAAAUAUGUACGGCUCUGUUGUUGUCCAUUCCAACAUUUUUCUCUAUCAUUAAAUAAUCAUUAAAUAAUUUUUCCAAAAAGAGUCAACUGUCCCGAUCACAGAGCAGUACUGGCAAAAGCGACCGACGCACGCGUUGCUCCUGAGGUUGGGCAUAUUCCUCUCUUAUGUCUUUUGUCCCCCCUAUUUAUGUGAUUUAUUAAAAGGCCCUCAUACUUUAGGUUAUAUUAAUGUUUUACCAUUAUUUUAGUGUUUGCAAAUUUACAAUUAUUUUAGUAUUUAAAUUACCCAGGGGCGGAUCCAGGAUUUAAUAUUACCCCGGACUAAAUUUUAAAAUUUAUAUUUUGAAGCGAACAUAAAAAUUUAUAAGUAGAAAUAAGUAUAUUAAAUAAGGAGGAAUACCAAGAACUUUAUCUCUCUAAAUAUGUACUAUAAACAAAAAUAAUUAUAAAAAAAAGUAGAAAACAAAAAACAACUCAAAUAUGAAAUUAUUUUUUAAUUAUAGAAUUUGACAUUGCAACCUAUAAUAACUUGUAAUUAUAUAAGGAUUAAAAAAUCAAUUAAGAAAUUGAAAUUAACAUAGAUCAAUACAUGUAAUUACAAUCAAUUAAAAAUUGCAAGUAAAACUUUUAUGCAUGAAUUGAAGUACUAAAUUACCCGAUUUAAUAAAUUAAAUAAUUAAAAUUUAUUUAUCCUUUCAAAUUGUAAAAGUAUUUUUAAUCAAAAGUUUCAAUAAUAAACUAAACUCAAUUGUUUCUUUUUCAGAUGCUCUAUCUCUCUUUAAAGAAUUAGAAGUUGAUGAUUCUUCUAUUAAAAGCUCUUAAAAUACUCAAAUUUUAUUUUCUAACUUGUCCUCUUAGUUAAUAUAACUAAUAAAUAAAAUCUGAAAAUUCACAUUAAAAUUUUAUGAAAAUAUUGAUAAUUGUUACUAUAUGUUAUUUCUGUAAGUACUUUUAAGUCUAGUGAUGAUAUUAUAUUACAUUGACAUAUAUAUUUUUUAAUUAGAAGCUUUUUAAAAUAAAUUAAAGCAGUAAUAAAAUUUUAACACCCUAAUGUUUUCAAUCUAUUCAAUAAAUAUAUAAUUUAAUCAUUUUAUAAAAUAAGUCACUAAUUUCAAUUGAAAAUAAUAUAAUUGACUUAGGGACACAUUUAUAAAUAAAAUAAAAACUCUAUUAUUAUAUAAAAUUAAUGAAAACAUAUGGGUAAUUGAGUUAGGGACAUAUUUAAAUAUAAAAUGAAAACUCUAUUGUUAUACUAAAUUGAUGAAAAUGUAAGGGUAGUUGAGUUAGGGACAUAUAUGAAACUAAAAUGAAAACUAUAUUAUUUUAUUAAAUUAUUAAAAAAGUAAGGGUUGUAAAUGAUUUUUUCUAAACUAGACCGGGCUACAGCCCGGUCUAGCCCACGUGCAGGUCCGCCACUGAAAUUACCUACAAUGUUUUUUUCUUUCUUAACAUGAAAAGUAACAUUUUUGAAAAAUAUUUCUUAUUCAAAAUUUUAUUUCUAUUCAGAUCCAAGAAAAGAAGUACCAUUAUUAAUUUUUUGUCCAACUUCAUUGAAUAUUAAUUAAAGAAAAAAAGCUCUCGGACUUUAUCAAAAUUAAGGGAAAAAAAAGAACAAAAUUGAGUAGCUCUAGGACUGCUCUCCCCAGUGAUUAUUUUUUAUUAUCAACUCUUGUUUAUAAAUAAAUACAAGACAUAUAUAUCUUAGGUAAGUCCAUGUAAGUCAUGAUUCAUGUGCAACUACUCAUAGAUUUUGGUCCCACUUCAUUGAAUAUUAAUCAACCAUUCAAAGGCACCUUAUCUUAUUAUGGAAUUAUUCGGUGUUGACCGAAAAUCUAAGUGAAAGCAAGCUUCCAUCUUACCGCAUGAUGCGACGUGACUUCCAUCCUAGCAUUGGCCUAAGAUGGGUUUCGGCCUUCUGUGCUUUAAAAUUUAUUUGAACAUAUUAUACUUGGUCUAUCUAAAAAUUUAAAUUCCCUUCUAAAAUUAUAAUUUUUUUAAAAACUAUGUAAUAUAUUUGGCUCAUUUCUUAGUUUGUUAUGCGUGUCCUACACUUGAAAGUGGUGUUUAAAUCAUGAUUUAAUUGAUUGACAUAAUUGUCCAUCUCAUAGUUUUAAAUUUUCAAAAAUAUCAAGUAAAAGUCAUUGAUUUUUAGCUUCUUAAUUAGCCAACUGAUUUUGGCACCCUUUCAAAGACAAAAUUUACAUGGUCUCUUUCUCACAUUCAGAGUAAAAAAAAAAAAAAACUAUUAAGGUUUUCUUAUAUGAAUUAAUAGGUUCAAUUGGGUUGGAGUUAUUUGAUUAACUAGAUUUCUUACUAUUUGUGGUAACUUUUUUUUUUAAUGUUUUGACUCAAAUAAUUAUGUUAAUUUAAGUCUUUACUUGAAAACAACAAAGAACAAUCUAUCGUUCAAAGUUAAAAUUAUUGAUUAAGUUGAUAAUGAAGUUAUUAUAGUAAGUAACUUUUUUAAAACUGAAAACGAGUCGAGGACAGUCAUAAAUAUAUUGAAAAUCAUUAAUUCAAUGAAGUUUAAUAAUUUGGUACUUAUUAUGUUUGGUUGAAAACUUUUUUCAAUUGUAUUGUACUAAGCCCCUCCUAGAUAAAAUUUUUAGGUCCACCACUACAUGUCUUGGAAGCCCUUGCUCAAAGUAUUUGAACCACCAAACAAAAUAUCUCUGCUUUGCUGUUGCUUUUAUAUUCAUCAGUUAGGGCCUACUCUAGAAUAUUGUGUCUUAGGUGAAAUUUUUUUUGUGAGAUCUCUUUACAUUCAACAACUUUAUAAUUCAAAGAAAUAUAGAGAAUUCAAUAUUUGAUCAAUUUUUAAUUAUAUUUUGAAUAUAUAAGUUAACUUAGAAAUUUUAUUAAUUUGAGUAUAUCAUAUAAAUAAAUAAAUAAUUUUCUUGUCAAAUAUUAAGGAAUGAAGAAGUUAGUGCCGCCAUUAAAUCACAAUUGGAUCGCAGCAUCGGCGACCACUUCAUGGAAAGAGCAACAAUCAUGACCGUUCAACAAUAUCUACAUAAGUGGACAAAACAAGUCUUCCUUGCACAGAAGUAUAAUGAAAUAAGCAUUGUUCGAUAUAGGGAUGGCAACCAAACCCAGACUCGGACUGAACCCGGAAAAUUUGGUCUAGGUUCAACCUGCACUGGAACAAUUUUUAUGCAGAAUCCGGAUGAGAUUUUGAGAACUCGCAUACUUCCGAGUCCAAAUCCGGUUCAGGUUAACCCGCAAAUUCGAAACCUAGAUCCAAAUAUUAUUUAUUUUAAUAUUAAGUUUUUAGAAAUUAUUAAAUAUAAAAAAAAUUUAAAAAAAAAAAACAAAAAGAAGCCCUAGACUAGCGUAACGCUCUCUCUCUCUCAAGUCUCAAUCGUUCCUCUCUCAAUCUCUCACUCUCUCUUCAACUCUCCUGUAAUUUCUCUUCUUCAAAUCAUAUCCUUUGCGGCGUAGCUUUCAUCACCUUCACGGUGCGGCUGUGUUCAUCUCAUCACUUAUUAGCCUCACUCGUCUCAUCUCUCACUCUGUCGCGACCAGCAAAAGGGGUUGAAAUCCACCUCAAUCGCCACUGUGUUCUAUGUUCAUCAGCAUAUACAUAAGUUGUCGCUGUGAAUAUUUGUGAGUCUCGACUUUUCUCUUUACAAUUUAUGCUCUAUUACGCUUUGAUUAUUCUCUCUUUGCAAUUUAAUUUUAUUGUCUUUGCAAUUUACGUGUUGUUAUGCUCUUAUUAUACUCUCUUUGGGAUAUAAUUAUAUUGUCUUUGUAAUUUAUGUGUUGUUAUGCUCUGAUUAUAUUGUCUUUGCAAUUUAAUUAGAUUGUGUUUGCAAUUUGUGUGUUGUUUUGCUCUGUUUGCAAUUUUAAUAUCUAUACUUUGUGACUUUAAUAGCUAAACUCUAUGAUUUUUAAUAUGUAUACUCUGUUAUGCUUCAAUUUUACUAUUUAUAGUUUAUUUAUUUAUUUAUUAUUUCUUAUUGUUGUUGUUAAUAGAAUAGAAAUGGUAUCUCUAAAAUAUUUAUAGCUUUUACAGUUAAAAACAACAUAUAAAUUGGAAGAAGUUGCUGGAACUAAUUAUGUCUUGACAUAAUUUUUAUAGAGUGAAAAAUUGAUAUGGAAAAUGAACAAAGAAUCGACUUGGAUGUCUCUGAAAAAAGUGAUGAAAUUGUUUGUGUGAGAGUUAGGACAUAAUCAGAAAAUAAUGGUGAUACAGUUGUUGAAUUAGAACCAAUUCAACAGUAGCAGUUCAGGGGAGUAGUCACGACCGUGGUCGUGGCUGUAGGGGUAAUAAUACUUCUAUCACUUCAUAAACAUGAGGUGGUGGUGGUAGAGUAGUCUCUGAUGCUUGGAAUCAUUUCAAAAAAGUUAAGUUGGGUCAGGAAGUAUAGGUGAUUUGCAAUUACUGCAGAUUAGUUAUGCAAGGACAUUAUUUGAGGGGUACUAAUCACUUAAUAAAUCAUGCUAAACGUUGUCCUAGAAGGUCAUUCAAGAUUGUACAGCAAAUGCACAUAUCGUUUUCUUCUAAAGCUGAUAGAACCACUGCACUUAGUAUUUGUAGUUCUGAAUCAAAAUAGGAUAUGGCUAUAAUAAAGCUUUUUGUGGCUAGAAUGAUUAUAUUACGUGAGCUCUCCUUGGCAUUUGUUGAAUAUGUUGGGUUUUAUAAUUUUUUGAAGCUACUCCAACCUUCUAUUGAGACUAUUAGUAGAAACACCAUUAAAGCUGAAAUUUUAAAGCUUUAUGAUGUUGAAAAGAAGAAGACAAUUUGUAUUUUGGAAGCUUGUAAAAGUAGAAUCGUAAUUACUACAGAUAUGUGGACUGCUAGUAACAAAAAAAAGAAGAUACAUGGUUAUUAUGGUACAUUACAUUGAUAACUCAUGGGUGUUGCGAGGUCGUAUUAUAAGGUAAUAUUCUUGAAACUUAGUUUAAGCAUAAAUUAAUGUCCAGUUUAAUAUUUUAGUUAUUAUUUUACAUUAUUAGGUUUAUAUAUGUGCCAGCUCCACAUAGUGUUGCGGUGAUGUGUAAUGAGUUACAUGAUUGUUUGAUGGAUUGAAAUAUAGAAAGCUAAUCCAUUGUAAUUUUUGAUAAUUGUGCUGCAAAUGAUUCUAUGAUUGAUUUGUUAUUGGGGAAAUUUUCUACUAGUUCAAUGAUUAUGGGUGGAAAAUUCUUUCAUAUGUGUUGUUGUGCUCAUAUAUUAAAAUUGAUAGUCAGAGAUGGUUUAUUUGUGAUACAAAAGAGAGUUGAGAAAAUUAGAGAUAGUGUUCAUUAUUAGACAGCAACACUAGUUAGAGUUGAAAAUUUUGAGAAUGCAAAAAAACAAUUAGGUAUUAAAGAAACAAAAAACUUGGUACUUGAUUGUAAAACUAGAUGGAACUUCACUUACUUAAUGCUUAAUACCGCAUUGUUGUAUAAAGAUGUAUUUGAUCGUUUAAAGGAACGUGAGAGAAAUCAUACAUCUUUGUUUAGUGAGUCAGAGUGGAAUUUGUCAAAGCUUAUGUGUGAGUAUCUAAACAGGUUUUGUAAGUUGACAUAACUUUUUUCGGGGACAUGAUAUCCGACAUCUAAUUUAUUUUUUGCCAAGAUUUGUGAAAUUAGAUUGUCAAUGAAUGCAUGAUUAUAAUCACCAAUUGAGGGGAUAAAAAAUAAGGCCACUAAGAUGAUUACGAAGUAUGAAAAGUAUUGGGAUGUUAUUCAUAGAGUUCUUAUAGUGGGGACUAUGUUAGAUCCUACGCGUAAAAUGUUACUGAUUAACUUUUUAUUUCCUAAUAUAUGUGGGGAAAAAGCUAAAUCCAAAAUUGAAAGAGUGCAUAAGUUAUUCGUUGAUUUAGUGCAUGAGUAUGAAGUAAAGGAUCUAUCAAAUUUAAGUAAGGGGUUAAUGGUUCUGCCAAUUCUUAAGCUGCUGCAGUAAGGGAUUCUAUUAUGUUGGACUUGGACUUGGAUGAAAUGGCUGAUGAGUGGGCAUUAUUUAAAAAUGAAAACACACAUAAUUCCAAAUCUAAAUUGGAGCUUUAUUGUGACGAGAGUACUUUGCCUUCAACUAGUCAAUUUGACAUUUUGUCGUGGUGGAAGAAUAAUCAAGGCAAAUAUCCUAUACUUGCAAAGACAGCAAGGGACUUUUUGGCUAUUCUUGUAUCAACAGUUGCUUCGGAGUCUGCUUUUAGCACUAGAGGUUAACAUUUGAGCCCUCAUCGUAGUAGACUUCACCCAUCCAUAGUGGAAGCAUUGAUGUGCACUCAAAAUUGAUUUUGGCUUGAACAAAACCUAAAAGGUAUGCAAAUUUUAUUUAUUAGAAUCAAAUGAAUUUGUUGUAUUGUUUUUAUUAUCAUUUUAUCACUAAUUGGUUGUCUUGUUCAUUAUAUUUAUGAUUUACACAUUUUUUUUAGAUGGAAUCCCAGAGGAAGCAAUACUUUCUGUGGAGCAUUUGAUUGAUGAAAGUUGGAUGAGUGAGCAUCAGUCAAAUGAAGUGGAUAGUUGAGAGUUUAGUCUUUAGACUAGUGGUUUGAAAUUUCAACUUUGAAUUAUAGAAUUAUGUUAUGGAUUUAUAUUUGUGGAUUUUUAUUGCUUUAAAACUUUAAAUUUUAGAUUCUAUAUUUGUGUUGUAUUUGUUUUAGAACCUGGAUAUGUCAUAUAUUUUGUAUUUGAAAUUUUGUUGAACUUAAGUAAAGCAAUUUGGUUUGUGAUCUUUUCUUUUUCCCCUUUUUUUCUAGUACAACUGCACAACUGAAGUAAAGUAAUUCAAGUUGAACCCGAACCAGACUCGAAAUGAAAAAAAUCAGGUUCAAAUCUGGGUCCGAUAAUGAGAACUGUGUGUCCGGGUCCGGAUCCAGAAAGGCCAAACCCGGACCCGGAAAUUGCCAUCCCUAGUUCGAUAUAUGAUUCAAAUUUAACGUGUCAUGUCUUAACUUUAAUGCGUCCGGUUUUAAUAUUUAGUGUAGGGUUUUAAUAUUUAGAGCCCAUUUGGGAAUGUGAUUAAAAGAUUCAAAAGUGAUUUUGAAGAAAUAAAAAUUAAUUUUGGUGUUUGAUAAAUCUUUUUAGAAAUCACUUUUGCAAAAUCACCCUAUCUUACACCAGAUUUUGAAAAGUGAAAAAUAAAAAAUGAGUAACUUUUCAAAAUCUAAUUUUGAUAAUUAGUUUUAUACAUUAUCCAAUUCCAAAUAUAUACUCAUAUAUAUUAUAAAAAUCUAAAAUUAUCCUUAUUAGUUAAGAAAUAAAAUCGUUAAUUUUAAAGAGAUUAUUACUAUUACCAAUUUUAUUGAGAUAACAAAACAAGACAAUAAUUUAAUAAUAUAGAAUAUUUAUUUUAGUUACUAAUUCAAUUAUUUAUAUUCUUACAGCAGUUUAACAACAAGAUUUUAUUAUACACAUAUGAUUGCUUUUAAAAUUCAAAUAAUUUUAAAAAAUAAAUUUUACCAAAUGUUUUUUUUUUGUUUGAGAAUAUCAAAUAUUUAAUUAAUUUUCUUCAUAACUGAUUAUUUCUACAUCACAACAAGUAAAAAUUAUUUUAAAAACUAAAACAUUACCAUAUUGGCCCUUAAUACAAAUUGCUUAACUUAAAUAGUCUAAACAAGGCAGAUCUACUCACUGUAGGCCAUUGACACCACAAGAUUUUUUCGUUCAAUUUUCUGGGCUUUGCCGAGCCCUGCCUAGGCCUGCCCUGUCUUUACCAAUCUUGAUUGUUUUUGGUUCAAUUUGUUGCGACUAACCUUGUUUCUUUGAUCCAGUCUUGAUUGUUUGUGUUAUUUCUUGAUUAAGGGGUGUUUAUUGAUAAUCUAAUAAUAAUAAUAAUAAUAAUAAUGGUAUUUAUCAUGCUCUGCCCAAAAAAAAAAGUGAAUAAAAUAUAAGGAAAGGAGGAAAUUUUAAUUAUACUACAAACCCCAAAAGAAGAUAAAAAGUAAGCUUAGUGGGCUUUAAAAAGCCAUAAUCUUCUAAAAUUUUAAACUUUCUUUAGUUUGAAAAGAAAAUAAUAAUUGAUUACGUAGAUCAAAAUUAAUUAUAAAUGCCUUAACAAAUUAACCUCAUACACUAGUCGAACAAGGUACUAUGCAUCAAGUUCAAGCCUUUACUCUCUGGAUCACAAAAUGCUCAUAACUAAGCUUGCUUAUGGUCUAUGCAAUGGACAAGUGAAAUUAAAAAGGUACUUAGCUUCUCUCAGGCCUUGGCCCUUCUUAAAGGACUGCAACGUAACAUGAAUAUAUAAAAGAAAGAACUCUAUGUAUUGAAAAUUUUAAUUAGCGCAUAAUAUAACUAAUUAAAAAAAGAAAAGGGCACGUACCUUGAAGGAUUAAAAUUCCGUUGAUGAGGUGAAGAUGGUAGCGGCAGCUUUGCAUCAUAUUGGUAUAUUGUUGUGACCAAGAUGAAUGAGAUUAAACAAGUAGUUCUGUUAUGUUUAUUAGUAGUCAGAUUUUGUUUUAUUAUGCUCUAUCAAAAUUUUGAUAAUUACUUAUUAAGCAUGCAGUGGGUUGUUCUUGUGGACCAAGAAAUCUAUUGCUUUGCCGUUUGCAGCCCAUAUCAAAUCUCCAUUUGAACAAGAAAUUUCUUUCUUUUGAUAUAUUUCAAAUACUGGAAAUAUGCCGGUUGUUUAUGGAUGAUUGUCAUCAACUGUAUUAGGACGAUAUAUUGAAGCCAUUUUUCAUCAACAUUUGGAAUUGGUUAACAACAUCAUCUUCACCAUUGAGCAGAGAGGACCCCAAGCAAAAUGUAUAACAUUAGUCAACAAGUUGACAUCUUUAUACAUCAACAGGAUAUGCCUAAGCAUACAAUAUGACCAUACACUAUCAAAACUAUAUUACUGAAUGAAAAUAAACUAAUGAUGAGUAUAAGCAUUUGAGUAUACAUUUUGAUCUUAUUGAAUUUUGAAACAUAAGUGGAAUCGCUCUGUUAAACUUCUCCACUUAUACUACCGGUCGUUGUUUCUGUUCUGUGGAAUAGAUAUUGAUAUCUCGAAACCAUUUUAAGGUUUUCGAGAAAAAUGCCAAAAUGACAUGGUAAAUUUGACGACAUGCAUCCAUAAACAUGCUACCAUAUUUAUACACAAGAAUGAUAACAGCAGCACUCCCCAGUGCAAUGUAGCAAAUGAUUUCAGCAACUGAGCGAGUGAAAAAUGUAGAGACCAAUGAGACUAUAGAAAGAGAUCCAGCGAUUACAGCAAUGAGGCCCCAAAACUGCAAAGGAUUUGCUUGAUUGCGUUGAGACUUCUUAUCGGCUGCAAAUGCAAUAUAGUGGACGAUUAUGGCCACAAGAAGCACACACAAACUUACUCUAUGAGUCUCCAUCAAUGGUUUAGUUGUGCCUUGCACAUUCACACCCACAACUGCAACAAGGGUCGGAAUUAGAUAUCCGAAAAGUUUUGGGUACGGAACUGAAGAAAUGAAGUUGCCAUCACUGCAAAGCCAUCAAUAUGGAUAUAUGGAGAGGUUAGCAAAAGCAGCAAUAAAGAAAGGGAAGGAGAUGUUAUAAGGGUUAUUGUUUUUGGCUUCGAAGUUGAGAGAAAUGAAAAAUUGUGAUCUCUGAAAAACCUUAAAUUUAUUUAUGCCUUGCACAUUUCCCUUUGGAACAAUGACAGCGAACCAUAUUGUUAAAGUCAGAAGCUUGUUGCGUUCUGUUAUGUGCAUUUUCUGCGAUUGAUCAUUUUUCUGUGUCUAAUCUUGAUUGUUUGUGUUAUUUCUUGAUUCAAGGGUGUUGAUUGAUCAUCUAUCAAUCAUCCGUGGUGUAUCUAAAUAUGAUAUUGCUUCAUAUUAUUACUAUUAUAAUGACUAAAUAAUGGUAUUCAUCUGCUCUCCAAAAACAGAGCAGGAACAACAAAAGUAGCAACAGCAACAGCAGCAGCAGCAGCAAACAAGCCAAAACAAAGCUCUUAUGUAUUCAUCAUGGUAUGCAAAAACCAGAGAGAACUAAAUAAAAUUAAAGGAGAAAAUGAUUAAUUCUACAAAAGAAGGGAAAAUAAGCUUUCUUCAAUUCAAAAAGAAAAAAGAUUUUAAAAAAGGUUUAACGUGAAACAAAAUUAUUUAUUAAUGCAAGAACAAACCUCAUGCAGUAGUCUAACAAGGGACCAUCAAGUUCAAGCUUUUACUCUAAAGGACUAAUUAAGGGAAGAUACUCGUAACUAAGCUUAUGUUCUUUGUUAUGGAAAAAAAGAAAUUAAAAAUGUAAUUUAGCUGCUUUCACUCCUUCUCAGGGGACUGUAACGUAACAUGACAAAAAGAAAGAACUGUAAUGAAAAUUUAUUUCAUAUUAACCCAAAAAAAAAAUAAGGAACUGGCUCUGAAAUACAACUCAAAACAGACAAACUAAACAAAACCAAAAUUAAAAAUGCAGUGAAAGUUUACGUAAGUACCUUGAAGGAUUAAAGUGCUGUCGAUGAAGGUGAAGAUGGUUGUGGUAGCUUAUUUGAAUCAUAUUUAAUGCAACUCUUCUUCUUCUUCCUCCUCUCCUUCUUCUUGAUUAUGUCUCCGGCGAGCCCUUGAAUAGAAUUAGACUUUUGAGAGAGUCUCCGUUUAUAAAUUUGUAAUACGGAUACUCUGUAAAUCUUGAUAUUCCUCGGCGCCUGCUCGGCACGCGCGCGAAUCGAACCCGUAUUUGCCACGUAGACAGAGAGUGUGCCACCGCUGACAUGUCACCCCACUCAACUCACCGCACCUAACUCGAUCGAUGACAUGGCACGUCAACUUUUUGAUUCGGAUUAUUACUCUGUAAAUCCUUAUAUUCCUCGGCGAUCCUUAUAUUCAAGCGCGCAAAUUGAACCCGUAUAUGCCACGUAGACAAAGUUGUCAACUUUUUGAUUUAGGAUUAUUACAUGGUUAACUCAAGCUUGAGUAGGGUUUGAUUUGGGUUCGGUGAUGAACGGCUGAGAUUGUGGCUGAACGAAGGAUGAUUUUGGGGGAGUAAUUGAAGUGCUGCCAACGAGAACCAGAAUGUUCUAAUUUAUUUUUGUUGAAAUUAAAUUAUGUGAUUUUCUUUUUUUUCCCCUUCUUUUUUAAAUAAACGGAGACUCUUGACUCUUUAUUGUGAAAGAGGAACCUAGCUUGAAUUAGGGUGAUUGCAUGGUUACCCUGACUUAAGCGCUAGCUACUUGGUCCACAUAUUAAUCCAAAAUUAAUAAUCCUCUUUUCAACAUAAGUUUAGGAUAAAAUGCUCUUUACCUAUCUUCCCCUUUUUAUUUAAUCUAACAUUUAUUAUUGAUUAAAUUUAAAAAAAUUAAUUGCCUAAUUUAUUUAAAUUAGAAUUUUAAUUGUAUUAAAUAUCAAAAUUUAUUCGUUAACUUAAAAAAAUUAAUUGCCCAAUAUAAAAUUAUUAAUUUAUCUCUUUUUUCUGUGGGACCGACUGUAGUGUUAUGUGGUUGGCUCACUUCUGCUUUUGACUAACCAAUAAUAAGAGAAGCUAAGCACAAAUCACGAGUCGCGGUGACAACGCGGAGAAAAAUAUUGGAAUGGAAACAGAGCCAUUCCUGAUGAAGGCUGAUGCCCCGCACGUGCAUGAAUCUCAAACAGUUAUAAAGAAAAUCUAGAGAGCAAUAAAUAAAAGUGUUGAUGCAAUCACAAAAUUUUAUAUAAAUUUAUCUUAUAUAAAUUGAUGUGGUAUUAAUUUAUUAUUUGAAUAAAAAUAUAAAAUAAUAUAAAUGAAUUAUGUGGAUAAAAAAAUAUUUAAUUCAACUAAUUUUAUCAUGCUAUAUCAGUUUGUACAAAAUAAAUUUAUAAAAGAGUUUGUGAGUAUAUCAUUACUCAAUAAAUAAUUGCUUAUGCUUCUUUUGCAGAUAACAUUCAAAUUGUUUUAAUAUUUAAAUAUUAUUAUUAUAACCUAGCUACCUAAAUAUAACUAAUUAUAUUAAUUUUUUUAAUAUGUUAACUAAUUAGUGAUUGUGCUUUUUCUGUUUUCAUCAUCGUCAUAGUAGCCGUGUUAAGCUGUUACGCCUCCAAUGCCUGGGGCCAUAGUUAUGUGCUAUGGGAGUAGGAAACCAUUGAUUUACAAGCAUUUAAAGCAAGCAACCAUUGAUUUAAAUCAGUUAAAAAGAAUUUUGAAUUAAGAAUUAAAAAAAAAUUAUAUAGCAGACACAAUUAUAUUAUGUAGACGACUUGUCAUUUGACACACUUAUUACAAUCUAACUAUUAUCCUCUCUCUAAAAUGGGAGGAAAAAAAAAGGCCUAGUCGGUGAAAUGGUUUUCAAGAUCAUAUGCUGCUUUGAUCAUACGUAUGCUUAACCCAUACACUAUAUAUAAUAAAAGAAAAUAGAUACUUUUUUAGUGAAAUUAUUUUUCCAAAAAAAAAAAAGAAGGAUGCUGGUGGUACAUAAGAUUAUGAUUUGUAAUGUAACAAACAAAAAUUGAUCUUCACUUUCGCUUGCAUUAAUUGUCGAUUUAGUGGUUAAUUUACAAGUCAAAAUCUUUUUUACUUAAAAAAGUAAAAACAAAAAAAAAUGUUACAAGUCAAAAUAUUUUUUACUUAAAAAGGUAAAAACAUAAAUUAAGAAAACGAAGCCGGGGGCAAGCUCAUCAUGGCCAUGGUUGAUGAAUUCUAUUAACAAAUUCAUUAAAACACUUUACUCUUUCAUUUAGAGACAGUGAUUAGCGUUUCAGGAUCAGGGCUGCUCUGGUUUUAAAUUUCAUAGCAAUGGUGAAAACAGCUCAGCUAUUUCUUUGCAGUCAGUCUCUAUAAUCAGAGGCUAAACCCACUGGUAGUCUCCAUAAUCUCGCUAUUCCAAAAUUCUCUGCAGUUCUUGUCAAAUAUUAAGGAAUGAAGUGCCGCCAUUAAAUCAUAAUUGCACCCCAGCGUGCGCGUACGUAAUUGAAAUAAUUCUGUUCUUUUUCAAAUAAUAAUUAUUUGGAGCUGGCUAAGUUACAGCAUCUGUAACUUACAGAUGCUGCUUCAGCCAACCCUCCAACCUUGCAUUUGCAUUGCUUUUUUCUCUGUAAGUUAGGACACGUGUGCUGUAACAUGGCAACCUCCAUUAUGUAGAUUUUUGUUUAUAACUGUCAAUUCUUUUUUUUUUGCCCCUGAGAUGAAUCUGAAAGUAAAAGACAUAUAAAAUUCCAUUUUUAUUUUUACCAUAAGCCUCCAUCGGCUGUGGGGACCCUGCACGGCCAAACCACUUGUGUGUACCUUUUUGGAAAAACGUUCACAUACAUUCAUACAUACAUACAUAUGUAUAAAUAAUAACAUGAAAAUAAAGUGGAAAAACUUCUAAACUUGGUUUCGAAAUUGAAGAUUGAUUUCCCUGAUUAAAAACACUGAUUACAAGAGACUUAUUAUAUAACUGAAAUGAUGUGAAUGUAAUAGUCACAAUAUUAAUAAGAAUUUAGAAUUAGGAAUGUGGACUAUGUUCUUUUUUUUAUUUUUUCUAUUUUCAAAAUUCAAAACAUAUGAUUGGACAAUACAGGUAUAUAUAAUAAAUGCUAGGAUGCAAUGCAACUUGCCAACUAGUUAUGAAUCAUUAUUCCAAUUGAAGGCAUAAUCAAUGGGCUAUUUUAAAAAAUAGAGGAGAGAAAUCAAAUCGCACAUGUAUUAGUUGAAUACUAACUCGUAUGUGUAAGGAAAAAUCUAGCUUUCAAACUAAGAAAAAUCUAUGAAUUUAACCAACACUAAUUAUUUGCCAUGGUCUCUUUUAACUCAAAAUCUUAGUUUCACCUCAUGUGCUUGAAAAUUGUGUUGAUGUGAUUUUUAAGUACCCAAUAUAUUUAUUAUUAAAACGUUAUUUUAUUAUAUAAUACUAUUUGAUUUAAUACGAGAAUUUUACUUGUGAUGCACAUGUAGACAAUAGGCAUUUUCCACACAAAAUGAUAAAAUCUGCAGCAACAAAGUCUGAAAUCAUAGGGCCAUUGUCACGUGCUUGCUUAUUAUUGAAUUUCCUCUUCCUUCUCUCUCUCUCUCUCUGUAUUUCUUUUUUUGAGUGGAGUCCGAAUUAUUUCUCAUCUCUUUGAGCGUGUGUGUGUGUUUGUGUAUAUUGUAUAUCAUAUAUAUAUCUAAAGCAGUGUUGCUUUAAUAUUUAUAUCAGUUGCAUUCCCUAAACAUGGCCGCCGGCCCGCCGCUACCCAUCAUUCAUAGGCAUCCCAUUUCUCAUAUGUGUGUAUAUAUAGUUUUUUUAAAGAAAGGAAAAAAAAAGGCUUAGUCGAUUUAUGAAUUUAAAAUUAGUGCAUUAUGUUUUAAUUUUGCCUUGACAAAGGAGAAAAAUAAUUUGAUCGCAUAACAUCAUAUAAUACUCCUCAGCCAAAUGGCAAUUUUUUUUCUUUGUUUUUAUUUUUUUUCAGUGUUGUAUUUCUUUUCUUUAUUUUUUUGGUACUUUGUACAUAGGUGAUAAAUCAUGAAAAAUAGAUAGCUAUACACUACCUUUCCAAAUAUGUGUUAAUAAAUCCCCUGCUGUUUGUCAAAAUUAAUCAAUUCUUCUCACAACUCAUCAAAAUUCUUAUGUGUUGACUUUUUUUUUCUUUGGUAUCUUUAGCUAUUAUCCCCAAGUUUUUUUAAUAGAUUUAUGGCGGAUUUUACUAAAUAAAAAGUAAAAUAGUAAAAAAAAUACAACAAAUUCUUUAAUGACAGAGGAUUCUUUAAUUUAUUGAAACAAGAGGAGGCUUCUGAUUCUUUUUCCUAAAUCAAUGUAUCAGACAAAUGUCAUAAUUGAAUGAAAAAGAAAAUCUUCAAUAUAAGAUACAAAUUAUCCUGUUUAAUACUAACUUUAUGUUUUUUUAUCAAUAUACGAGCUUGUUUUGAUCAUUAAAAUUGUACGUGGAUAAGCAAUUAUAACAGUAAAGAGGAUUUUGGUAUCGUCCUUGGAAAAGCUUUAAUUAUUCUACACUUAACGAGCUAUAUUGGCAAUAGUUGUUGUUGGUUUAUUCCUUCUAAAAUUGCCAAAUCUUCUUAUGAAGCCUCUUGCUGUAACCAACAAGAAGAAGAACAAAAGCCCACAUAAUGAAACUGAAAUGUCCAUACGAGCAUGGCAGAAUAAUGGAGACCAACGAUGCUGAACAAAGAGAUCAUGACAUGACAACAAUUGCCUUAAAUAUUUGAAGCUUGAAUUUCAUGGCAGCAAAAUAUGCAAAGUUGUAGAUGAGUAAUGUCCACAGAAAUGAGCACAUAUUCAUUAGGUGUGUUUCGAUUAAGGAUUUAUUUUUGUCUUGGACAUUAUUAAUCUCAACAACUGCAAGUCUCCAACAAGCAAUGGAAUUAGAAAUACAAAGAUUGUAUGGUAUGAUACUGAUGAUUACGACAAAUUUUGCACGCUGCAAAACCAUCAAAAUAAGAUAUAACUACUUAAUUUGCAUAAUAAAAUUUUACAGCAAAGUAAUAUAUGAUUGCAGUGUAUACUCUUUAGCCCCGCUUUCUCUAUCAUCAUUCGAUGAUGGAUCGUUCUUAUCCCUCAUUCCAUCAUUAACUAAUUUAAAUCCUUUCAGCUGAACUAUUUUAACCAUAGUUAAAAUUAUACAAAAGAAAGAGGUUUUAAAAAAAUUGAACUGAAUUUGUCUUUUUAUGAAGUCUUAUUAAGGUAAAAUUAUAAAUAUAAAAGAAAGGUUUUAUAAGAAAAAUCGAGGGGUGAUGGCACCAUAGCAUUUACUAUCUUUGUAAAAUUUAAUGAAGAUAAUUUUAGAACAAUGAUUUUCAUACCCUUUUAAAAUACUUACAAGACCCUACAUUUUGUAAUCGUAGCUCUAUUGUUAGAAAAAAUUACAUAAAAGGACAAACAUAAUAUAAGUAAAUUAAAACAUUUUUACACUUAAAAAUCAUGAACCCUCCCAUAUGUAAAUGAUAUAAAUAAUUAUUUUAAAAUGAAAAUAAUUUUGGGGCAAUAAAAUAACAAAUUAUAUAAUGAUAAGAUUUUUAUUAUAAAAAAUUAUAUUUAAUAUUUAAUUAUAAGAGCUAUGCAUACAAUAAGUGGGGGUUUCAUAAGAAUUUUAAUUAAAGAGGUGCUAGGAGCUUAACUCUAAUUUUUAAGAAAUUGCAAAACACAAAAUCAAGGGCCUAUAAAGGCCCAGAUAAAAAAGACCUGGUCCAUGCCGUGCCAAGCCUUAAUUUGUAUAGUUCUGGUGCUAAUUGCAAAUUAGUCGCUGAAAAGUGCCAAAUUAUUAUUAGUAUCUUGAUCAAAUUAGGGAGUUAGAGAGUAUCUAAUGUAAAGCUUGUAAACAGCUAUAUUGGCCUCGUCCUUUCCUCUAAUAAAGGAAGGUUUGGGAGGCUUUACUCUUGAUUGUUAAGUUUACUUGCUUGUGCUCUGUUUUGUUGUAUGCGUUUUCUGCAAUUGAUCAUUUUGCUGUGAUCAAUCUUGUUUCUUUGAUCCAAUUUUGAUUGUUUAUGUUAUUUCUAGAUUAAAGGCUGUUCAUUGAUCAUCCAACAAUUUUUAUUACUCUUAAAAUUAUUAUUAUUAUCAAAUAAUGGUACUUAAUCAUCAUGCUAUGCCAAAACAGAGAACAAAACAUAAGGAAAAGGAGAAAAUGAUUAAUUCUACAAACCCCAUUUAGAAGAGGAAAUAAGCUACAGGUUUAAAGAAGCCAUGAUCUUCUAAAAUUCAACUUUUAAUAUGGAUAAGAGAAAAAAAAAAAAAAGAAGCUUAUGUACGUCAAAAUUUGUUAUUAAUACAUGAACAAACUUCUUACACUAGUCUAACAAGGUAGCAUCAAGUUCAAGGCCUUACUCUAAAUGCUCCUACCCAAGCUUAUGGCAAGAAAGAGAGCCCCAAAAAAAAAAAGGGACCAAAGUAAUAAUUAAGAUUCAUAUGAAUAAAAGAAAGAACUAUAUGGAAAAUUUAGCUCAUAAAUAAUAACUGAAAAAAACCAAAAGUUAGAAAUGUAAGAGAAUUGUAUGUACCUUGUAGGAUUAAGGUGCUGUGGAUGAAACUCUUCUUCUUCUUCAUCCAUUUUCAUAGUGUUCUUUUUUCUUCAUCUUUUUUGUAGCUUUUUUCAAACCAUGAAGAAUCAUGGUGACGUCGAUAUUCAAAAAUGUUGACGCCCUAUUUUAAAAAGCCAAUGAUAUAAUGCCACAUGGCCGAAAGACAAAAAUGGAACUUUGUCUUCCUUUUUUGCCCUUUUCCAAACGUCUAAGAACUGCACAUGCCACCAAUCCUAACUGUGUGGGCUAUUAUUUUCCUUGAUUGACCGGUCAAACCUGAUACCGAAGCUUCUUGGUGUUUUCUGAAAAUCAAGCCCACCAAUCCUAAUUGUGUGUUGUGCCCUUCUUAAAGAGUCAAUAAUCACUGGAAGAAAAUGAAUCAUGUACAUUCUAGACUCUCAUCAAACAAAGUUUGGAAUUAGAAAUUUGGACAACCAUAUCUUAAUCCAUUUUUAUUACAAAUUAAAUUAGAUGUCUGAACUUUUUUAUUUCGAAUCUUAUCUAAUCAAACAAAUUUAAAAUUUUGACUAACCACCUGAAUUUGAAUUGUGAAAGAAGUAGAGAACUUAAAAAAAUUAUAAAUGUGGAUUAUGUUCAAAAUUUAAAUUCAAAAUUAAUUUUUUCAAUCGUGGCGUGGGCACUUUAUAAAUGUGGAUUAUGUUCUCUUUUCUAUUUUUUCUAUUUUCAAAAUUCAAAACAUAAGAUUGGACAAUAAAGGUAUAUAUAAUGAAUGCUAGGAAUCCAAUGCAACUUGCCGACUAAUUAUGAAUUAUUACUCCAAUAGAAGGCAUAAUCAAUGGGCUAUUGUACAAAGCAGAGGAGAGAAACCAAAUCGCACAUGCAUUUGUUGAAUACCAGCACACACGUGUAAGAAAAAAUCUAGCUUUCGAAUUAACCAAGAAAAAUCUAUUAAUUUAACCAAUACUAAUUAUUUGGCAUAGUCUCUUUUAAAUCAAAAUCUUAGUUUCACUUCAGCUGCUUAAUAAAUUGUGUUGAUGUGUGAAUUUUAAGUGUUGAGUAUAUUUAUAUUUAUUAUUAAAGUGUUAUUUCAUUAUAUUAUAUUUUUUUAAUACUGUUAUACAGAACUGUUACUGAUAUUAUAUAAGAUAUUACAAUUAAUAUUUACAAACUCUACUCACAUUUCGUGAGGGAUAGACUGGUUCCACUCAAUUAUUUGAUAAUUGAAGGAGAAUUGAAAUUAACCUUCAUAAUACUUUUAUGGAGCCUCAAACCAUUACACUCAAUAUUGUAAGUGCAAUGAUUCUCUCACUAGGCCAAAGGUCCAUUGAUCAUUAUAUUAUACUAUUUGAUUUAACAGGUAUUCUAAGCUUCCAUAUAUAUAAUUUUCACAGGUAUCUUGUUUCCCAUAUUUCUCUAUAUAUAAUUUUCUUAGAGAAAAAAAGAAAAGAAAAAGAGCUUAGUCGAUUUAUGUAUUUAAAAUUAGUGCAUUAUGUUUUAAUUUUGCCUUGACAAAGGAGAAAAAUAAUUUGAUCGUAUAACAGCAUAUAAUUCUCCUCAGUCAAAUGGCAGUUUUUUUUUUCAUUGCUUUUAUUUUUUUCAGUGUUGUAUUUCUUUUUCUUUUUUUACUUUGUACAUAGGUGAUAAAUCCUGAAAAAUAGAUAGCCAUUCCAAAUACGUGUUAAAAAAUCCCCUGUUGUUUGUCAAAAUUAAUCAAUUCUUCUCACAACUCAUCAAAAUUCUUAUGUGUUGACCUUUUUUUUUUUUUUGGGUAUCUUUAACUAUUAUACCCAAGUUUUUCUUAAUAGAUUUAUGGCGGGUUUUACUAAAUCAAAAGUAAAAUAGCAAAAAUAAAUAAAGUUAAAACAAAUUAAUGGAAUUUCUUUAAUGAUAGAGGAUUCUGAAUCAAACAUGAAGACAUAAAGCAUUAAUUUACUGACACAAUAGGAGGCUUCUGAUUCUUUUCCCUAAAUCAAUGUAUCAGACCAAAUGUGGUAAUUAAAUGAAAAAGAAAUCUUCAAUAUAAGACAAAAAUUAUCUUGUUUAUUAAAUGAAAAAGAAAUCUUCAAUAUAAGAUAAAAAUUAUCUUGUUUAAUAUUAACUUGAUGUUUUUGACCAAUACACGAGAUUGUUUUGAUCAUUAAAAUUGUAAUCUGGUCAUGCUAAGAACCAUAAGAGAUUUGUACGUGGAUAAACAAUUAUAACACUAAAGAGGAUUUUGGUAUCAUCCUUGGAAAAACUUUAAUUAGUCUAUACUUAGCCAACUACAUUGGCAACAAUUGUUGUUGGUUGAUUCCUCGAAAUUUCCAAAAUUGCCAAAUCUUUUUAUGAAGCCUCUUACUAUAACCAACAAGAAGAAGACAAAAGCCCAUAUAAUGAAAUUGAAAUGUCCAUACGGCCGUGGCAGAAUAAUGGAGACCAACGACACUGAACAAAGAGAUCCUGACAUUACAGCAAUUGCCUUAAAUAUUUGAAGCUUGAAUUUCAUGGCAGCAAAAUAUGCAAAGGUGUAGACAAGUAGUGCCAACAGAAAUGAGCACAUAUUCAUUAGGUGUGUUUUGAUCAAGGAUUUAUUUUUGUCUUGAACAUUAUUAAUCUCAAUAAAUAUAAAAGAAAGGUUUUAUAAGAAAAAUCGAGGGGUGAUGAAACCAUAGAAAUUACUAUCUUCGUAAAAUUUAAUGAAGAUAAUUUUAGAGUAAUGCUUUUCACACUCUUUUAAAAUACUUAUAAGACCCCACAUUUUGUAAUCAUAGCUUUUUAAUUACAUUUUUACACUGCUCGAUAUGAUGAUAAUCGGAGUGUACGUGUAACCUGCAGUAAAAAGUCAUAUUAUCUAAUCACGAAUUAUACACUUGAAACCUUUGAGGAGAGCCACGCCUCUCUCGUUGGAAUUGAUGAGAAUCAGUUGUUGUGAUUCUCUCAACUCGGUACCCGCCAUUAACAUUAAACCUCCGCACUUCCAUUUCUUUGCUUUCUCUUUCUGCUUAUAAAUCUCUCUUCCACUACAAUUGUACGCAAGUUAAUAAGAGCUAGCUACCAAGACUUUAAAACAGUUAAUAAGAGCAAGAUAGAAGAUUGAGGUAGUAAUUUUAAUUUGAUAGGCUAUCGACACGUGCAUGAAUCAAGUCAUAUUUAUACAUAAUUGUUCACACCAGGUAAAUGUGUACUUAGUUACAAAACAUAGAUGGCUAAUUGCAAAUUAGUCGCUGAAAAGUGCCACCAAUCCUAACCGUUUGGGCUAUUAUUUUCCUUGAUUGACCGGUCAAACCCUGAUACCGAAGCUUCUUGGUGUUUUCUGAAAAUCAAGCCCACCAAUCCUAACUGUGUGUUGUGCCCUUCUUAAAGAAUCAAUAAUCACUGGAAAAAAAUGAAUCAUGUACAUUCUAGUCUCUCAUCAAACAAAGUUUGGAAUUAGGAAUUUGGACAACUAUAUCUUAAUCCAUUUUUAUUACAAAUUAAAUUAGAUGUCUGAACUUUUUUAUUUCGAAUCUUAUCUGAUCAAACAAGUUUAAAAUUUUGACUAACCACAUGAAUUUGAAUUGUGAAAAAAUUAUAAAUUUUUAAAUUUAAUUAACUUUCAAGGAUUAAACUUAUUAUGUCACCUCAUUAGUUUCAAGUUCUUAAAAAAAAUUAUAUCUAAUUUUAACUCGCACUAUUUUAAUUCUAUUAACAUCAAAGAUGCUUACAAACUUGGCAAAAUAAGAGAGAAAAAAUAAUAUCAAAGAUACAUACAAAAAGCCAAAAAUAAUGAUAAAUUGGAUCUAAAUAACUCUUACUGUUCUAAUUAACAUCAACGAUGUCAUGAACAAUUAAAAUCGACUAAAGAUUUAUGGAAUAACAGUAUUGGAAAUGAAAAUAGGGUAUUAUAAUUUGUAAGAAACAAUAAAAAGGAUUUGUAGCAGGAAGUGAAAAGAAAAGAAUAAAAAACUUGUUUAUCCCAAAUGCUGUCAGAAGCUUUUGUCUUUUGCUGCUGUGUGCUGAAAAUUAUGAAGACCAGCGGAGGCGUACGUUUACUGACUUUUUCAGAAAGAUCUCAUCAGGUAGUCCGGUCGCUCAGGAAUUUUUUUUUUUUAAUUUUUAUUAUAGGGCCUUUUAGAUUUAGUGGGGCCUAUGUGCAUCACUGUCGAGGAAAAAAAUAUGGUUAUUUAUGAAAGCGGCCGAUCUGACGUCAAGACUAUGAAAAAUCCAUAGCAUUUAGUGGAGAAAAUUAGAGAAUAGAAACGUGUGUAAGUGGGUUGUCAUUUACUUUUCAACGAUAUAUCUUGUCUCUUUUCAUUUUCAAUCAAAUUUCUUCUUUUAUUUAUUAAUUUAAUUAUUAUUAACUUUCUUUGUCCUCCACGAUUCAUACAUGUGACCAAUAACCCCAUUUUUUAUUUUAAUUUUUGUUUCUCUAUUCGCCACUUACUUUUAAUUUAAAAAAGCUAUUGAACUUGGUGUACUCUAAAUUUAGCUUUUUUAAAUUAAUUUUAAUUAAUGCAUGAGUACUCUAAAUUUAGCUUCAUUACAAAAAUCUAUUGAACUUGGUAUCCAGAAAAAGCAUUAGCAACAACUGUAUCUUGGAUACUAUCAUUUGCACAAAAAUACCCAAAAGUAUACACAAAAUGAUACCACAUCCUGAAUAUUAUUCUUUUCACUUCCUUGGCAUACAUUAUUUGAAACAUUUUCCUCUUACCUAAAACAAUAUCAUGUACUCAAAUUUAAAAAUGAUCAUACUAUAGUAAGAAAAAAUAAUUUAGAAAAUGUGAACAAUAUUCUUGAUAUGAUGCAACUAAAUAGAGUCGCUGUCAAUAACUGUUAUAUGUAGAAGAUUUUCAAAUAAAAUAAGGUUUAAUUUAAAUUAAAAUAAUGUCUCGUGAUUUAUAAAUUAAAUUUCAAAAUCAUUAAAAAAUCAUUGACUUUUUCAACGCUCGCUCUUAUCUCUUCUCAUUUUCAAUAAAAUUUCUUCUUUUAUUUAUUAAUUUUAUUAUUUAUAACUUUCUUCAUUCUCUAGCAGUCAAAUUCCCCACGAACUUAACGUGCUUUGUCUACUUUUGAGUGCUUUUAUUGUGCCAAAUUAACAGUUCAAAUUAUACGAGGAUGGAAAGCAAUAUAUGAGAUUAACAGUAAUUUUCUCUUAACAUUUCAUAAUCUAUACCCCUGUAAAUUAAAAAUGGAGACAUAUUUCCUGUUCAAAUUAAUUAAUAUCUGUCAUGCAAUUCAAGCAAAUUAAUUAAUAUAAACAGAUUUUUUUUUGUUAAAUAACUAAUUUUAGUUUAUUCUAUGAGUAUAAAAUUAUUUUAAAUGUAUUUAAUAUGCAUGUACCUAUUUUCAUUAUUCCAAGACAAAUUUAUCCUUAAAUCAGCUCAUAGGUAAGGAGUAUUUUUAGUACCUUCACAAGUUAACAUUAGUCAACAAUUAAAGCUGACUAAGAUUUUAGUUUGAGUGACUGAUUGAAGUUUUCAAAAUAAGUAAUGACGUUUGUAGCGAAAAGAGUACAAAAAUCAAUGUUUGGUAGUGAAUUUUUUUUUACCUUGUAGUGAUUUUUUUUUUUUAAAUCUUGUAGUAGUACUAUUUUUUGUGUUAACUUUUAUGCACGUAUCACUAUUAUUUCAAAGCAUCGGGAGUACAUUAAAAAUAUAUAAAAACACUUGGGAGCUUGGUUUCUUUUUUUAAGUACAUUAGAAAGCAUGUAACAAAUAUACAUCGUGUUUGAGUAAUUUCUUUGGUUACGUAAUCGCAAAUAUACCACCCGUAAUUAAUAGACACAACAAUGUUACUUCUGAUAAAAUCUUGUGGCAUAUCACUCGUAAUUAAUCAUACAUAACAAGAGUCUUCAUGAGGAAAGUUCUUACCUAGCUCCCGAUCAUCCAUUGCUGCUGGGGGAAUUAGCUCCGGAUCAUCCUUUGCUGCUGCCUGCUGGGGGAAUUGAUCGAAUAGAGUCAAUUGUCUAAUUUUUUUUUAAUUUGACGAUAUUACUCUUCUAACAAAAAAUGAUAAAAGUGUCCCAAAAAAAAAAUUUAAUUGUACCAUAAUAAUUAAGGCAUCAGUUUCAAAACGUAUAUAAUCUAACAUUUUCAAUAUCCCAAAAAUUUAAAACGACAAACCUUUUUAACCAUUAAAUUUCAUGAGAUAUUAUAUUACAAAGACAUUUAUUAGUUUAAUUGAGCAUUAAUAAUUUUAUUAAGGAUAUAAAAUAAUUUUUUUUGGGUACUUUGAUGCUUUUACCUUAUUAGGAUAAAAUAAUUGAAAUAAUAUGUUAAAAACACCUUAGUGUCAUCCAUUAUCAUUUUGAACCUAAGACAUUGUUUUUAUUUUUAAAAUCAAUUUACCAAUUUAGCUAUUUAAUAUUUAAUGCAAUAAAAAUUUAUAAACUUUUUUAUUGUAACCUUAAGAGAUGUAUGAUAAACUACUAACUCGUGUGAUGUUUCAUGUUGAUUUACUUGGCUGUUAUGAACUCAAUAUUUCAGAAUAACAAGGAAUAUCUUCAUAUAUUAAUAAUAUAUUAAUUAAUCAAGAAAUUAAUAAUUUAUUAAUUAUAUUGAGUUAAUUAAUAACAUGAAUAACGCUACACUUCUCAACUAUUAGCGGAUGCCCAUCUCACUUGUCGGGAUAAUAGUUAGAUAAGUGUAGUAUUACUCAUAUUAUUAUCUUAAUAAUAAUAUAUAAUAUAUUCAAAUGAUGCUCAUUGAAGUAUCAUAUAUAAAAUAUUUAUUACACAAAUACUUAAUCGUUGGAUCAAUUAAAUUGGAGUAAAUCGGCAUAUAAAAAUAUCAUUUUGAACAAAUUAGAAAGAUGAUCGAUAGUUUGUUUAAUUGCAAUUGAUCAAACGACGAACCGAUGAGGUCUGAACACGAUAAAUGACAAUGUGGUUCGACUUCAAAUUUGAGAUCACUCUUCAACAAAAACUCAAUCAUAUAUUUCAGAUUCUACGUUAGAUUCAAUUAUCCGUGCAAUGUAUAAAAUAGUGUCACCAAUUAAGAGUGGAGACCAAUUAGAUAUAAAAAAUGCCGCAUUACCAGCAUCGAUGUUAUUAUAUUUUCAAUACCAAUUAAUUAUUGGUGAUUUUGUAAGAAAGUUCUGUGUUACAUGCAUCAUCGGACCAAAACAAGAAGAGGCUACAGUUAAAUUAAUUAAUAUACAUCACAUCAACAAGUCCAGAACCCUUUUAUCAUCUAAUAUGUGUGCCACGAAUGCUAACUGAUUUAGGUCAGUUGGUUUGGGUUUAGUCUUAAUGCAGCCUAACAAUUAUGGCCAUUAUUCUCUCGGUUGAUGUGUUUAAUGAGUAUCAUGUCAUUUACUAAUUAAUGGGUGAAAUAAUUUAAAUAUAUAAUUAAUUUGAAACUUAUAAAAAAUAUAAUUAAUUUAUAAAUGACAUAUUUAUGCCACAUCAUUUAAGAUAAAUAGAAACAAAAUUUUGAUAUAGUUAUUGUUACUCUUAUUAAUUUUAUAACAUUUUCGUUACAUGCAUGUACUACAAUUUUUUCUUCAGCAGGUCAAGAAAUUGUGUGUGAUUUUUCAAAGGCUAUAGACGGCAAAAUAAAAGAGAUCAUAUACAUGAAUGAUCAUCAGUAUUACGUAGAAAGUGUUAGAUCAAUCCAACAAUCAAGAAUUAUGAUUCAAUAUAUGCAUGUGCUAUAACUUAUGUUAGUAAAAAGACAAAUAACAACGUCAUUUGGAACACAUUUGAAAUAAGACCGACAGGUCGUUUACAAAUGGAUGAUCGAUUGUGGCAAAUCUCAAAAUGAGGCCAGUACCCAAGAUGGUCUUAUUGGUCAUUCCUAGUUCUCCAAGAUUCUAUAAAUCACAUCCCAUCGUAUAUAUUCCUAGUGAUCUAGCAAUAACAACAAAUAUAUUGAUAAUAUUGGACGUGGUACCACUUUAACACUCUCAAAUGCCGUAUGACACGGUAUCCACGUAUAUGGCCCUGCUUUCCCAUUGAGGGAUUAAUAAUUAUUAUAUAAUUCACGUAUAUACCGAACAAAAAACUGAACCACUUGAAAGGAAAAAAUAUAUUCGGUAGCAACUUGUCCUAAACGAGAUAUAUAUUAUGUUCGAGGGAUUUGUAUUUCACAUUUUUUUGUCACAUUUUUUCCUAUCAUAUUUGAGCACAAAUGACACGGUAACAACGCAAAUAAUAAUAUAUCAGUACUACGAAUUUAAAUUUAGUAUCAGCAAAUAAUAAUAACCCAAAUUUAUAUUUUAAUUUUUAAUUUUUUUUUAUUUAACAGCCAUAACAGAAAUUCUAUUGAGCAUCGAAAUCUUCAAUGCUAUGGUAUUUAUAAUAAAUGAUAGUGGGACAAACCGAACUGAAAUAAUUAUCAUAAAAAAUACAAAUCCCACAUGAAUCAAUAAUAAGGCGUCAAAAACUUUUCAGUUUUCAAAUCAGUUUGCACUGAGCUGUUACAUACAGAAUCUGUAACGUAGUUUUGUCCCCAAACAAAAGAUAAACAAGCCUAACAUGGUUACUGACUUUGUCAAAGUCAAAGUAUUUAUGUUCCUUUCCCUUCACCGAAGGGACAGGCCCAGCCGCCCAGCCUUUACCCAAAGAAGCUUCUUCGUGCGUUCCCAAAAUCAAAUUUGUUAUAUAAAGAAUAUAAAGAAUAUCAAUAAUCACUACAAGAAAAUGAAUCAUAUAUUCAUAGGAUUAUUAUCAUUUCACUACUUUAAAAAUUACUAAAUAUCAAAUGACUACAAUAAGUAUUGUCUCCUAUCAUUUUCCUACUAUAUCUUUAUAAAAAUAUCAUUUUACUACUUUUCCAUUACAACAAAUAUCAUUUCACUACUUCUCCAUUACAACUGUUAGUUGACCCGUUAGUUGACAAAUUAGUUAACUAACAAAAUAUCAAUUUUACCCUUCAUAAUUAAAAAAAAUAAAUAAGACAAAUUUGUAAUCCAUAUGUCAUAAUUCCAACAAAAAGAAUUAUGUUGGUAUUUUAUAUCCAUUUUAAUAAAUAUUUUACAAAUUUAUUUUGUAAAUAAGCUUCAAGUAUAUAUUUUUUUUAAUCAUGAAGGUGAAAUUGGUAUUUUGUUAGUCAACUAACUGGUCAACUAACGGAAAAAUAGUAAAAUGAUAUUUUUAUAAAGAUAUAAUAAGAAAAUGAUACGAGACAAUACUUGUUGUAGUCAUUUGAUAUUUAAUAAUUUUUGAAGUAGUGAAAUGAUAAUAACCCUAUAAUCAUAUAACAAAGUUUGGGGAAUUGGUUUAUAUCGAUUUAGAUGUCCCAACAAUUUUUUUUUUCAAAUAUCUUCUUAUCAAAACAAAAUUUUGAUUUUGCCCUAAUACUUAAAUUCGAAUACCAGACAAUGUAGGAAAAUAAAAAAAUAAUAUGAAUUUUUUUAUACUUAAUUUACCCAAAGAAGCUUCUUCGUGCGUUCCCAAAAUCAAAUUUGUUAUAUAAAGAAUAUAAAGAAUAUCAAUAAUCACUACAAGAAAAUGAAUCAUAUAUUCAUAGGAUUAUUAUCAUUUCACUAUUUUGAAAAUUGCCAAAUAUCAAAUGACUACAAUAAGUAUUGUUUUCUAUCAUUUUCCUACUAUAUCUUUAUAAAAAUAUCAUUUUACUACUUUUCUAUUACAAUAAAUAUCAUUUCACUACUUUUCCAUUACAACUGUUAGUUGAUCCGUUAGUUGACCAAUUAGUUAACUAAAAAAAUACCAAUUUUACCCUUUAUGAUUAAAAAAAAUUAAUAAGAUAAAUUUGUAAUCCAUAUAUCAUAAUUCCAACAAAAAAAAUUAUGUUGGUAUUUUAUAUCCAUUUUAAUAAAUAUUUUACAAAAUUAUUUUGUAAAUAAGCUUCUAAGUAUUUUUUUUUAAUCAUGAAGGUGAAAUUGGUAUUUUGUUAGUCAACUAACUGGUCAACAAACGGGAUAUAACGGAAAAGUAGUAAAAUGAUAUUUUUAUAAAGAUAUAGUAGGAAAAUGAUACGAGACAAUACUUGUUGUAGUUAUUUGAUAUUUGAUAAUUUUUGAAGUAGUGAAAUGAUAAUAACCCUAUAUUCAUAUAACAAAGUUUGGGGAAUUGGUUUAUAUCUAUUUAGAUGUCCCAACAAUUUUUUUUUUUCAAAUAUCUUCUAAUCAAAACAAAUUUAGAUUUUACCCUAAUACUUAAAUUCAAAUACCAGACAAAGUAGGAAAAUAAAAAAUUAAUAUGAAUUUUUUUGUACUUAAUUUACCUUUAAGGGAGGUAAGGCUUAUAUAUUAUUUCCCUUUUGAUUAAUUCUGUGUGUUUUUUUUUAAUAAUACUUCCCUUUUUUGUCGAGUUUCAUUAAAAAAGAAAAAACUUAGAUGAUUCCAACUCUUAUUGUUUCAAUUAUAUUAUCAUCAAAGAUGCUCAGGAACUUGAGAAAAAUUAACAUCAAAUGCAGACAUUGAGAAAUAUUGACUAGCUGAAACCCAAUAACUAUAUAUUGCUCUUUUAAUUAGCAUCGAAGAUGUCAUGAAUAAUUAAAAUAUAAUCAAAGAAGUACGCAAUAAUAAAAAAUAUAUAUAUUAAAGACCUCAGCAUCAUUUCCGCGUAUAUGAAAAUCUUAAAAUUUGCGAAAAAGAAAAAGCAUUUAUAACAGAAAGUGCAAAGAAAGAAAUUAAAAACUUUUUCUCCAUAAGAUGGUGACAGAGUGGUGGGUCAUGAUUUUUUUUAAUUUUAUAUUUUAGUUUUAUUGCUUUUGUGGAUUUCGCGGGGCCACGAAACAAGUUGUCAUUUGCGGGAUCAAAAUUGUCAUUUUUAUUGUUGAUGCUGGAAUCUGCUCGCCCUUGAUGCUGGAAUCUGCUCGCCCUUGGACCGACCAGAUUCUAUCACCAACGUUUGUGUUAUCAACUGUCACUAACCACUGGGGUUGGAAUCGCCCUUCCCUCUCUCACUAGACCUGCGUUCAACAAUAACAGAUCAGAGACGCUGGUGGUUUUGCCGGCGUAAACCCUCCGAUGCUUAAGUUAGCACAAGGUGUUCACGGGAAAACAAUGUAAUUUGGAUUCAAGAAGUUUGUUCGAGAUUUGUAAGAAAAUGGCCUGGUUGAAAUUUGGCAGCGUUUUCCCUCUCUCAAUUUUUUUCUAUCCCCUUCCUUCGUUGAUUUCUUCUUCUUUUAUAGCCGCUGCCCCCACGUUCCCGCUUGCCCUUCAUCCCCACUUUUUCGGGUAGUGGGAGCCCCUCAUAAGGCUCUAACUGCUGCACUAUGGGCAAACGUGGGAUCUCGCGUUUCUCGCAACAGUUCUGGGAAAGUGCAACUGCCGUGAUUCUGUGAGAUCGUGUUUCCGCUUUUUGGGGGGAAUGAGUAUCGGCUCGGCCUAUAACUCUGGUUGGCACUCGUCUCUGGUCGGACCAUGUUCGUCUCCGUGUUCUGCUCGUAUCAUUUGGCUGAGGUGGUUCAUGCCGGGGUGGAAAUGGUAGCAUGGCCGACCUGGUGCCUUUAUUUACUUAACACCAGUCCCCCAGUUUCUGGUCUUGCGAGUAAAAUGAGUUAAGAGUAGAAACUGAUGGUUGAAUCUUACCAGCCCGGGGCUUCUCAUCUGGUCUUCUGUUACUCCGGUGACGGAUCUGAGGUUUCAUUCUUGUUCUGGAGGGGAUUCCGACCUGAGCAUGGGCCUAAAUAAGCAUGUCCAUUGCAUAUCUGGACUUGCAUCUAUCCUGGCCUCUUGUAACGGUUGGUGACGUGGCGUUUCCCGACUCUUCGUAUUUGAAAUUUGAAACGACGGGCUAUCCGUCCUCGAUAUAUGGGGGGUGAGCUGGCAUAUCCCAUCACUUAAAUGCUUCCAUUUCCGCCUUUUCGUUUCAAAUCCCUAGACUGGAGUCAUCAUCAUCUUGGUAUUCGCUUCUCCGCCGUUAACCAAAUUUUUCUCUGAACUUUGCUCACACUUCCAGCGUCCGGAGUAUCCAUUUGCUGGGUGUUUUCUCUGUCACGGCAGCGCUAUCAGUGUCAGUCUAUUCCAGGUAUAGCCUUUAACCUUUUCUUCGGCUGUUGUUGAUUGGGUUCUGUGUUGCCCCUUUGUGUCCAUUUACUCGAGUUUUCUGUGUUUUCUUUUGGGAUUCCGGUAUGUCAAAUCGGAAGAGGAAGUUAAUUGUUGAUGAGGGUGAUGAAGAAUCAGGGGAUUCAGGCCUCAAUGUGCCAAUACCCACCGAUUUUUUAGGUCCCUCCAGUAAUAUAGGUCCUCCCCAUGGUAGGGAUACCCUUGAGUACCCACGCCCCCUGGUUGUCUCUCCCUCUCCCGAAUUAGAGCUUGUAGGAAAUAGAGGUGGACCUGCGUCGGGCUCUGGUGAGAACCACAGCUUUGGCGGGGUUGGGAUCCCUGAAGGAGUUGGUGAUGGUGAGGGGAGCAGUUCCGGACCGAGCAGACCUGCUCAGAAAAGGAACCUAGGCCAUAGGGUGGAGGCUCAUUCCUACCCUAUUGAUUUCAUGGCUUGUGCCACCACCCCCACCGAUCUAUUUAAACUUAGGAAUCUCUACGACAUCCCCAACGAGGUUCUUCUUGUAGUUCCUGGAAAGGUGAUGUCCCUAGUCGGCCUCCGAAAGGGUAUGUGACGAUGCACUUGGAGAGUUUUAGACUAGGAGCUCGGCUGCCCCUUCAACCUUACUUUGCUAGGAUACUGGGCGGUAUGCACCUGGCCCCAGGUCAGCUACACCCAAAUGGGUGGAGGGUUCUCUCGGCAAUGUUUGUGUUGUGGGAGAGGUGCGGGUCGGAGGAGCCUUCUCUUGUUGAAGUGAAACAUCUGUACCAGCUGCGGAGUAGCCCGAAGGAGGCAGGCUGGUACUAUUUCAUGUCCAGUUCCGCAAAGAGGAAACCGAUCACUGGGUUUCCAUCCUCAUGUAAAAAUUGGAAGAACAAAUUCUUCUUUGCUGGAGGGAACUGGUGUCCAGCGGUUCGGUCGCUUGGUGGGGACAUUUAUCUUCCCACCCAUUUUGUCACCCCAGGUCGUUCAUUUUUUGCCUAUAUUCUUUCUCAAAUUGCCACUCAUUGGGUUCUUUAACCUUGUUUGUUUUUUCAGAAUCGUGGGGUUUGGUGAAGGACCUUGAAGACCGACCUUUGCUUCAGGUGGAAACUGCUCUGUUGAACGCGUCUACUUGCCAAGACCUCCUGUCGCCAACAAACUUGGUCGGUUCUGGCUUAGUAGAUAUUGCCGUUGGAAUAGAUAACAAGAUCCUCAGCGCGAUGAGCAGGAAGCGUGGUCGGGCUCCGAGUAGCUCCAGCAACCCUCCUCCUCCUCCUCCAAAGAAACCCAGCGUCGGCUCUUCCAAGACGCCAGUUCCUGCUCUGCCCCCUCCUCCACCUCGUAAGAGUGGUGGGGAUAAAACCUCCGACAAGAGUCCUGAGGUCAGCUUACAGUCUGGGGACCGAUCUUCUCCUCUCCCAUCUCGGGAUCAAGGUGAUUACCUGAGCCCAUAUCAGAAGGACUAUAAAAAAUCGGUUGGGCCCAAGAUGGUGAAGGACAUCGAGAGCAUGAGCCUCUCCGAGUUGGCUGCUUCUGUUCAGAGAGUCUCUUUCAGGCUGGCCACAAUGGUCUCGUGCUACAAGACCGGGUCCGCGCGUCAUGAGAAGAAGCUUCAAGCUGACAAUCAGGAGUUGAAAAAGAAAGCUGAAUCUGCUGACCGCUCCAAGGAGAAACUAGCCGAGCUAAACAAGCAGAUUACGGAGCUGGAGGAGAAAGUUGCGGUUGCUGAGUCCACUUCCUCCAAGCUUGAGGGCGAGUUGGGUGAUCUGAAGUCCGAUCUUCAGGCUACUCAAAGUGAGAGAGAUACUCUGAGGACCGCCCUUGAGGGAGAGAUCAAAUCCCUGAGUGACCAACUGGCUGAAGAGAAAGGCAAAUCCGCUGAUGUGGAUGAUCGGCUGGAUGCCGAGUAUGACUCCGGGGUUGCUUUCAGCUAUAAGUGCAUCAUGUCUGUGCUCACGGAAGAAUACCCCGAGCUCGACAUGAGCAAGCUGGAGGCUGGGGUGGAGAGAUAUAUGGCUGGGGCCGGCCAGGGAGAUAAGGAGCAGGGUGAGCAGGAUCAGGUGGAGGCUCCUUUGGAUGGGGUGCAAGAGGGGGAAGCUGGGGGACGCACUUUUGAAGUGGGUCAAGGGUCCAUGCCUCCUCCACCCGGCAUUGCUAAUCUCCUACCUCUUGAUGUUGCUGAUCCUUCAGCUGGCGGAGCCGUUGACUCUGCUAAGCCUUGAGCCUAUUUUUGUAUAAACUCUAGAUUUGCAUUUGUUUUGUAAACAAUUGAACAUUUAUAAAUUUUUAGAUGCUCUUUAUUUGCUUUCUUGUCCGGUUUUUGCUCAUAGAUUGUUUCUAAAAAAUAAUUUGACAACUUAUUUGAUUUCGCCUGCUGGUUCCUUAGUGGACUGAGCAGGAGUAGGCAUUUUACUUGCCUUAGUAAACUUCUCAUAGGAUUAGCUGCUGGUCUUUCGUUAGCCGAGCAGAUAUAGGCACUUUGUUGCCUUAGUAGAAUUUUCGAAGCUUUAGCUGCUGGUCUUUCAUUGAUCGAGCAGAAACAGACACUUUGUUGCCUUAGUAGAAUUUUCGAAGCUUUAGCUGCCGGUCUUUCAUUGACCGAGCAGAAACAGGCGCUUUGUUGCCUUAGUAGGAUUUUCGAAGCUUUAGCUGCUGGUCUUUCGUUGACCGAGCAGAAACAGGCACUUUGUUGCCUUAGUAGGAUUUUCGAAGCUUUAGCUGCUGGUCUUUCGUUGACCGAGCAGAAACAGGCACUUUGUUGCCUUAGUAGGAUUUUCGAAGCUUUAGCUGCUGGUCUUUCGUUGACCGAGCAGAAACAGGCACUUUGUUGCCUUAGUAGAAUUUUCGAAGCUUUAGCUGCUGGUCUUUCGUUGACCGAGCAGAAACAGGCACUUUGUUGCCUUAGUAGAAUUUUCGAAGCUUUAGCUGCUGGUCUUUCGUUGACCGAGCAGAAACAGACACUUUGUUGCCUUAGUAGAAUUUUCGAAUCUUUAGCUGCUGGUCUUUCAUUGACCGAGCAGAAACAGGCACUUACUUGCCUUAGGUAAAACUUUUAUUGAUUAGACUAGCAGGGGGAUUUCAUGCUGAAUUCAUCUUUAUUUGAAAUUUGAAUGCAUUACAAGAAUACUGAAUACAUACAUGUGCAGCAAAGCCAUGAUGCAGUUAACAUAGAUAUCUUGUCAAAAUGGGGAUUUAGUAGAGCACUUUGCUUACUGGAAAUACUUCUUCAGGUGUUCGGCGUUCCAUGACCUCUUCACUUCUCGUCCAUCUUGGUGUGCUAAUUUAUAGGCUCCUGGUCCAGUGGCUCGUAUCACCCAGUACGGGCCCUCCCACUUUGGGCCAAGAGCGCCAUGGUUAGGAUCCCUGGUGUUCUGGUUCACCUUCCUAAGUACCCAAUCUCCUGCUCGGAACUGCCUCACGCGUACGUUCUUGUUGUAAUAACGCAUGACCCUUUGUUGGCACUGGGCCACUUUCUGCACUGCCCCUUCCCUUUUCUCCUCCAGCAGGUCCAGACUUAAGCAAAUCUGCUCGUCAUUUUGCUCCACAGUGAAAUAUUCCGUCCGAUGUGUUCCCACUCCAACCUCUGCUGGGAUUACCGCCUCAUGACCAAAGGCUAAAGCGAACGGUGUUUCUCCUGUGGCGGUUUUGUGAGUUGUCCUGUAGGCCCACAGUACUCCUGGUAGCUCGUCAACCCAAGCUCCCUUCUUCUCUCCCAAUCUAGUCUUUAGGAGCUUCUUUAUCACCUUGUUGGCUGCUUCCACUUGUCCGUUUGCCUGGGGGUGUGCGGGGGUGCAGAACUUCAGGUCCACCCCCAGGUUUCGGCAAAAUUCCCUGAGUUGCCGUUGUCAAAUUGCCUCCCAUUGUCUGUGAUGAUGGCGUAGGGGAUCCCAUAUCUGCAGAUGAUAUUCUUCCAAAUAAAAUCUGUUGUCUUCCUCUCCGUGAUCUGGCUGAGGACUCCUACUUCCACCCACUUGGUGAAGUAGUCUAUUGCCACAAUUGCAUGUGUCGCCGCUCCUCGUCCCUUAGGCAAUGGACCAAUCAAGUCGAUUCCCCAUUGAGCGAAAGGCCAUGGGGAUGUCAUAGCCGUCAGCUUUUCCGGGGUUGUGCAGGAACCUCGGAGAAGCUUUGGCAUGUUUUACAAUUUUUUGCCAUCCUUUUGGCAUCCUGGUGCAUGGUUGGCCAGAAGUAUCCUUGCCGGAGUGCCUUGAAGGCUAAUGUUCUUGCUCCCGAGUGAUUGCCGCAUAUUCCCUCAUGAAUCUCUCUCAGCACAUAAUCCGCCUCCUCAUCAUCCAAACAUCUCAAAAGGGGCAAGGUGAACCCUCGGCGGUACAGCACUCCAUCCAGUAGCGUAUACCUUGCUGCUCGGCAUUUUAAUUUUCUUGCUUGCCUUUUGUCCUCUGGUAAAACUCCAUCGCGGACAUAUGCACGAAUCGGGUCCAUCCAGGAUUCUCCAAUACUUACUCUCAUCACCUCUGCUUCUUCCUCAAUACUUGGUGAGGUCCUUACCUCUAGUGGAACUGACUUCGGUAAUUUUGGAUCUGCAGUGGCUGCCAUCCUAGCCAGCAUAUCUGCUCGAAAAUUCUCAUUCCGGGAUAUCUGCUUUACCUCCACUGUUUGGAAAAGCCCAACCAUCUGCUUCGCCUUCUUUAAAUAAAGACCCAUCUUCUCUCCCCUUGCUUGGAACUGAUCAUUGAGCUGAUUACACACCAGUUGGGAAUCUGCUCGAAUUUCUACCCUUUCUGCUCUUAGAGCGUGUGCAAGUCCGAGCCCGGUGAUAAAGGCCUCAUAUUCAGCUUGGUUGUUUGUGAGCUGAAAGUCAAACUUCACUGCAUACGUUAUUUCGGUUCCUUCUGGGCUCCGUAUUACAACUCCUGCUCCGACUCCUUGCUCACUACAUGAUCCGUCAACCAUUACCAACCACAACCCCUCUGGUUUCUCCUGCUCUGCUGCUUGCUCCUCCCGAAUUUCUUUCCCUGUAUCGGCUCGUUCAACCAUAAAUUCAGCCAAAGCUUGGGCCUUGAUUGCUCCUCGGGGCCUGUAGGAGAGGUCGAAUUCACUUAGCUCCACGGACCAUUUUACUAAUCGACCCGAUGCAUCUGGUUUUUGAAGUGUUUGCCGAAGGGGCUGGUCGGUCAUAACAAUAACCUGAUGGGCCUGAAAAUAUGGUCGGAGUUUUCGUGCUGCCGUUAUUAGAGCUAGCGCCCACUUCUCCAUCAAUGGGUAUCUGGUUUCCGCCUCUACCAAGGCCUUGCUCGUGUAAUAUACCGGAUGUUGCUUUCCUUCCUCUUCCCUGACCAAUACCGAGCUGGUAGCCCAUUUAGAGAUUGCUAAGUACAGCAACAGCUGGUCACCCUCUCUCGGAGUCGAUAAUAAUGGGGCCCGGGUUAGGUAUUCCUUCAGCUGCCCAAAUGCUUCCUCGCAUUCCGAUGUCCACUCCAUCUUUUUCCCUUUCUUUAUGGUUUGGAAGAAAGGGUGGCAUUUAUCUGUGGCCCGCGAGAUGAAUCGGUUUAAUGCUGCCAACUUCCCUGUAAGGCUUUGCACCUCCUUAACUGUUCGUGGGGACCUCAUUUCUGUCACCGCCCGUAUUUUCUCCGGGUUGGCCUCGAUCCCUCGGUGGCUUACCAGGAAUCCUAAAAAUUUGCCGGAGCUGACCCCAAAUGCACAUUUCUCCGGGUUUAGUUUCAUCUCAUACUUCCUCAGUAAUUCAAAGGUUUCUUCUAGAUGCUUCACAUGAUCCGUCGGCUCUUUGGACUUUGUGAUCAUAUCAUCCACAUAUACCUCCAUAGUGUAUCCAAUCAAUGGUUUGAAGAUUUUGUUUACCAACCUUUGAUAGGUGGCUCCUGCAUUUUUUAGGCCGAAAGGCAUUACCCUGUAGCAAAACAAACCCAUGUUAGUUAUAAAGGCGGUGCUUUCCUCAUCCUGCUCGUCCAUGGGUAUCUGGUUGUAUCCAGAAAAGGCAUCCAUGAAACUGAGCAGACUGUGGCCUGCUGUUGAGUCCACCAGCUGAUCUAUUUUGGGUAGGGGAAAACUGUCCUUUGGGCAUGCCUUAUUGACAUCCGUGAAGUCCACACACAUUCUCCACUUCCCGUUGGCCUUUUUUACCAGGACUACAUUUGAGAUCCAUUCUGGGUACUUGGCUUCCCUUAUAAAUCCUGCUUUCAACAACUUCUCCACCUCGGCGUUUAUGGCCUCGUACCUUUCCUGGUUGAAGCAUCUCUUUUUCUGUCUCACCGGCUUUGCCCCUCUCUUGACCGCCAGCUUGUGACAAGCUAUCCCGCGGUCAAUACCUGGCAUAUCCUCAUGAGACCAGGCAAAUAUGUCUGCAUGGGACUGUAGACACUUCACCAGCUCGGCCUUUAUUGCUUCGCCCAAUUCUGAUCCGACCUUAACAACUCUGCUAGGGUCACUCCUGCUUACAACAACUUCCUCCAGCUUCUCAACAGGUUCCUGACGACCAUUUUUUGAAUCCCCUCGGUUAUCCAGAGAGGUAACCUGCAGCGUUUCCUUGGCCGCCGUAGCAUAACAACUCCUUGCCAUCCUCUGGUCGCCUUUUACUACGCCAACCACCCCAUUUAUUCUGUAUUUCAGCGCCAAGUAAUGUGUGGACACAACGCAUUGGCUUAUUCUCAUGAAUGGUCUCCCCAGUAUCAUCUGGUAAGGGCUUCUUUCCUCCACCACGACGAAGUCCAGCAUCAUCGUUCGUUCAAACGGCUUUGUCCCCACAGUAAUCGGGAGUUCAAUGACCCCCAAGGGAGUUAACCGUCCCCCUCCAAAUCCUUUCAAGGAAGUAUUUGUCCGCUCCAGCUUUAAAUCUGAAAUCCCCAUAUCAUCUAGGGCUGACUUAAAUAGAAUGUCAACUGAACUGCCCGUGUCCACCAGUAUUCGCCGCAAUUCUGUGCUAGCCACCGAUGCUUUAAUCACUAGUGCAUCCUCAUGAGGAUAUAAAAUACCCUCUUCAUCCUCAUCUGUCCACAUAAUGGGAACUUGUCGCACUUUUGCCUUCUUGGUUGCUGGCAAAUUGAAAAGCACUUCUUUGCUAGUCAGGGCGUAUCUCCCAUAGUUCUUCCGUGCCCUGUUCGAAUCUCCGGCCAAUGUUGGCCCUCCUGCUAUCACACGGAUGGUCGGCUGUUCACGUUCCAGAUCCCUCUCAACUCCUUCAUCCCGUGUGUACUGUGAUUCCAUGACAGGGGAUAUUCCCUCUACAUACUCGUCCAAGUACCGGUUCCUCACUAAAUCCUCCACCUGAAUCUUCAGAUCACGACAUUGGCUGAUAGUGUGACCGUGAGUGUCGUGGAACUUGCAGAAUCUGCUCUUAUCCCGUCGGUGAGUCGGUUUUGUUAUUGGGGCUGGAGGGUACAGCAGGCCUCGUCCCUCGAUCCUCUCAUAUAAUUCCUCCAUGGAGAUCUUUAGUGGAAUGUAUUGUCUAUAUGUCAAGCUCUGGUCUACCAGCUGAACUGCUCGGCUAUCAUGAACGUCACCUCGGGCUUGCAUAGUCGUUAACUGAUCUGAUCGUCUAGCCCUGGAAUUUGUUGCAUCUGAUGUUCUGGGAGUGUUAUGAUAGGGGUCGGCAGCCAUCUGCUGGAAUUCUCGCUGCCGAUCCAGGAUUGGGGGAUGUGGAGGUUGAGCCCGAUUGUGCUGGAACUGUUGUGAUCUCGGAGCUAUGGGGUAUGGGCGGGAUCGAGCUGAUGUUCCGCCCCUUACUGAGGGUACCCCAGCUCGCUUUCCCGACCCGCUCCCAUUUGGAGUUCUCCUUUCCUUUCGUCUCAGCUCCUCCAGCUGUUCACUCUUUAUCUUUGCUGAUUUUUCUUCUUCGAUUUCGAUAUCUCUCUUUGCCUGCUCAUAUCCUGCUGAAUAAUUCUGCACCAGGGGGCUUCUCAGGUUAUACCACAGCCGGCCUAUCCUCAUACCCUCCUUUAAACCUCUCAACGCCUGCGGGUGAUUGAAAGCUCCCAAAUCAAGUACGGCUCGGUGGUAUCGCUUUACAAAAUCCUGUAGGGACUCGUGCUCCUCCUGUUUCAUCCCCAUCAGUUCCAUCAUGUCGUCCUCUGGGGCUACUGCCCCUCGGAACUGCUCGGCCAACUCCUGGCACAUCUGCUCAUACCCCUUUAUACUUCCUCGGGGCAGCUUGCGGUACCAUUCUCGAGCUCGUCCCUCUAGUGUCAACGGGAACGCCCUGCACCUCUGAGCUGAUGUCAGCCCCUGCACACCCGUCAUAUCGUUGAAACGCUCAAUGUGCACCAGUGGGUCACUUCGCCCAGAGUAUUUGAGGUCGGGGAAUCGGAAAUCUCUUGGGAUUAUGGUACCCAUGAUCUCGAUUGAUAACGGAGAUUUUUCAUCUAACAUUAUCCUCCAGCUCGGGGGCUUUCUCUUGCCCUGUAUCUCCUCUAUCACCUGCGCCAACCUGCGCACCUCCCCCUCCAAUUCUAUAGCACGGUUAGGGUCACGCGCAGCUAUCUGGUCUCGCUCCUGCUCGGCGUUCUGCAACCGCUGUCUGAGCUCUCCUUCAUCAACACUGGCACCUCGGCCAGUAGUUUCCAGUACCCGUCCGGGGCGAGUUUGGUCUCUCUCUUCAUCCCCGUGUUCUCCUGGGACCCGACCAGUACUCCUGUGGGGAUACACCCCAUUAGGUUGGUCUGCGGACGGAGGGAUGUCCUCGACUCUACGUCUCCGGAGGCUGGGUUCUGCUCCGACUUCAUCUCUUCCCCCGGGGGUUUCACAAUCCCUUCUCCGCUCAUCCCUCAGCUCAAACAAUAUGGACGCAAGAGUCUCCAUUUGUUUCUCCAUCCGCUCCAGUCUGUCUUGCAUCAUCCUCUCUCGGGCUUCAUUCGCAAUUUCCCGGAGAGUGACUGUCUCCCCAGCUUCGUUAUCCUCCCUCAAAGCGUCCUUCCUCGUCACAUCCAUGUCUAACCGUUCGCUAUUUCUCCGGUACUUCCUAAUUCGGUGGUAGCUUUUUAUCCAGCUCCCCACAGACGGCGCCAAAAUGUUGAUGCUGGAAUCUGCUCGCCCUUGAUGCUGGAAUCUGCUCGCCCUUGGACCGACCAGAUUCUAUCACCAACGUUUGUGUUAUCAACUGUCACUAACCACUGGGGUUGGAAUCGCCCUUCCCUCUCUCACUAGACCUGCGUUCAACAAUAACAGAUCAGAGACGCCGGUGGUUUUGCCGGCGUAAACCAUCCGAUGCUUAAGUUAGCACAAGGUGUUCACGGGAAAACAAUGUAAUUUGGAUUCAAGAAGUUUGUUCGAGAUUUGUAAGAAAAUGGCCUGGUUGAAAUUUGGCAGCGUUUUCCCUCUCUCAAUUUUUUUCUAUCCCCUUCCUUCGUUGAUUUCUUCUUCUUUUAUAGCCGCUGCCCCCACGUUCCCGCUUGCCCUUCAUCCCCACUUUUUCGGGUAGUGGGAGCCCCUCAUGAGGCUCUAACUGCUGCACUAUGGGCAAACGUGGGAUCUCGCGUUUCUCGCAACAGUUCUGGGAAAGUGCAACUGCCGUGAUUCUGUGAGAUCGUGUUUCCGCUUUUUGGGGGGAAUGAGUAUCAGCUCGGCCUAUAACUCUGGUUGGCACUCGUCUCUGGUCGGACCAUGUUCGUCUCCGUGUUCUGCUCGUAUCAUUUGGCUGAGGUGGUUCAUGCCGGGGUGAAAAUGGUAGCAUGGCCGACCUGGUGCCUUUAUUUACUUAACAUUUAUUAUAUAAAAAAAAUUGUCAUUUUCAAAUGUGGGACACACACAAUCUGCAAACAUUUUAUUAUCACCAGAAAUUCUUUUAUUUUUUUCUUGCGAGCUCUACAUGUAAACGCGAAUGUUGAUUGAGAAAGUUCUUGUCUAUUUCAUUUCUUUCUUUGGGAAAUGACCACUAGAUCUUUUAUUUUCCUUGGAUGUACCCUUUAGGUCCAUAACUUUUCCAUAAUACUCCCUCCAACUCCUGAAUGCUCAUGUAAUUGUCAAUCAAUUGAAAGUAAAAUGUCAGUAAAAUUAUAAAAAAUAAAUACUAACCUAAAGUUUUCAAGUUCUUUUUCCUAUUAAAGCUCUUAUGUCUUUCAAGUUUUUCAAGUUUGCUUGUAGGAUUCAAAUUUCAAGAUUACUUAAGUUUCAUUCCCCAAAAAAAAAAAAAAAUCAAGUUUCACAUUUUUUAUGCUAUUCAAGUAAAUUUUUUAUUCACCAAAUUUAUUAUAAUUGAAACAUACAUCUACAGAAUGUGCAUUAAGCCAUUACUAAUAAGUAAAAGUAAACGUUUUGAGUGUGUGUAAGUAAAAAAGGAGGACAAAUUUAAAUCCACGCUUAAACAAAAACAAAUUUCAAUAAACAUUUUUUAUUGAGAUUAUUAUAAUUUUUUUUGGUUAAAUAUAUGAGCGAAGCACUAAAAAUAUCGUUAUUAAUUUUUAUGAAAAUUAUGAAGAAUUGUGUUAAGGACGAAUAUGAUAUUUUAUUAAGACUGAUAAGUUAUUUUUCAAAAUGUAUUGGACCUCAAAAAAAAAUUUGGCUACUCAUUAAAUGUAGAACCCUUUCUCCCAUUGCUCCCUCCUCAUCGUCUUUGCACCCACGUCCCACUUUUCUUUGCUCCAUCAGCAGCAGCUAGCUCAACAUCAUCACAUCCCGAGAAGAAUGCAGAGUAAUCUUCAACACCAAAACCGACCGCCUUCUUCACCUUUAAGGUAUAGUUUUAAGUCUUUAAAGAUUUUUAUUUUAAAUUCUUGACCCGUCAUUAAUUUCCUCAUGCAAAGAAAUAGCUUGUUUGAAUGGAAGCCCCCGUAAACGGCGGCAGUAACUCUAACUGUCCUAAGGUAUCGCAAUUCCUUGUCGCAUAAGUAGCGGCCUGCACGAAUGGUGUAACGACUGCCCCGCUGUCUCCGACAUGGACCCGGUGAAAUUUAAUUCUCCGUGAAGAUGCGGAGUGCCCACGCCUAGACGGUAAGACCCCGUAAGAUGCAGAGUACCAACCACUCUUUCGUAUAAGGAUGCCUAACCGCCGCACCGAGAAUUGGUUGUUGGGGGGGGGGGGGACCGGACACUCCGAGGUGGGUAGUUUAACGGAGGUGUGCGAAGGUAGGCUCAAGCUAAGAUUCUGCUCGUGAGCGUAAUGGUAUAAGCCGUCCUGACUGUGAGACCGACUGGCUGACGAAAGUCGGCGAUAGUGAUCCGGGAGUCCCGUGUGGAAGGGUUCUCGCUCAACGGAUCAAAGGUACGCCGGGGAUAAUAGGCUGAUGACUCCCAAGAGCUCUUAUCGACGGAGUCCUUUGUCACCUCGAUGUCGACUCAUCACAUCCUGGGGUUGACGAAUGUCCCAAGGGUUCAGUUCCUAUCUACCGUUUUUGUUAAAGGGAGAACUGCGAGAAGCCAAACCUAGUACGAGAGGACCGGGUUGGGCCAACCAAUGGUGUACCGGUUGUUAUGCCAAUAGCUGCGCCGGGCUCCUUAAAAUCAAUAGCCUGAAUUUAUUAUUUUAUGUUUAAAAUUAAAAAGUCCUCUGCUAAUCGAGACAUUGUCAGUUGAUUAUCCACGGCCUUCACUUCAAAACUAGCUUUCCCAACGCUUAAGCUGUCCGCGUUUCGUGAUCCGAUACUGAAACUGAAAUAUCGGUUUAUCCAAGGAACUCAGCCCACUUCUGGUCCUGGUUCAAGAAAGGCUGGUCAAGCAUUUUGGUGGGCUCCAAAAACGAAAUAUCGGGUAAUUGGUUUGACAUCUAGUCAGCACCGGUUGACCCAUUACACCUGAAACCGAAAUAUCGGGUCCCCGGUCCACUAAAACCGAUUGUCCUUAUGAAGACAUAAAUAUUCUUCAAACCAAUUUGUAGCUCUACGGUUUCAGCUAUUGCGUUUGUAAGUUUAUAAAUAAUGAUUUGCAAUCACUUCAAUUAUACAAAUGGCAUGAUUUAUUUCGACCUCUUUCUGGUUUUGCAGCGAGGGACGUUUCGUUUCAUCGAUGCCGUACCAGUUCAUUUUUGCAUACCUGAUUCCAGUCCUCAUUGGUAUCCUGGGAGCCAAUGAUCAAGGCACAACAGAGCCCAUAUUCAAAACACAUACACUAAAUAUGUGGAGUUUUCUUGUGUCCCAAGCAAUAUACUGCUUCGCCUUCGCAACUGAUAUCAAGUCUCUAGCUCAACAAGAAAAUUCCACCAAACGCUCUGGCAUUAUUGCUAUUACCUCUGGAUCUCUUUCUGCCAUCUCGCUGGUCUCCACUUUUCUUCAAGGCUCCAGUGGUCAUAUCAUUUUAUACAUCUCAUGGCCUUGUGCCGUUGUUAUUGUUGUGUAUCAUCAGUAUGGCAGAUUGUUUAUCGGUGCUUCCCUUCAGCUUUACCACGACACCUUGAAGCCAAUUUUCACCAACAUUUGGAAUUGGUUUCGAGCUUCUUGUCUUCAGCUUUACCACGCUACCUUGAAGCCAUUUUCCGCCUACCUGUGGGAUUGGUUUCGAGCUUCUUGUCUUCAGCUUUACCAUGAAACCUUGAAGCCAUUUUCCGCCUACAUGUGGAAUUGGUUUCGAGCUUCUUGUCUUCAGCUUUCCGCCUACAUGUGGAAUUGGUUUCAAGCUUCUUGUCUUCAGCUUUACCAAGAUACCUUGAAGCCAUUGUCAGCCUACAUUUGGAAUUGGUUUCGAGCUUCUUGUCUUCAGCUUUACCACGAUACCUUGAAGCCAUUAUCAGCCUACAUUUGGAAUUGGUUCCGAGCUUCUUGUCUUCAGCUUUACCACGAUACCUUGAAGCCAUUUUUCACUAACAUUUGGAAUGGGUUUCAAGCGAAAGAAAACAUCUCUUCAACAGACCAGCAAGGACCGCAAGCUGAAGUGUAGAACAAGUAAUCAGCAAGUUAAUAGCGCCUUAUAUGUAGCAACGGGAUGCCUAAGAUGGUAGUUUCAUUUUAAUAGUAUAUAGUUUGUAGAGAAUCUAAAUUAAAUUAAUUUUAAUUUCUUUAGAAUUAGUUUUAAUAUACGUAAUGAUUGUGUUUGUUUCUAAUACCUUGUCAUCUAUGCAUAUAGACACAGAGUCAUGAACCUGAAGUAUAUAUUCCCAUGAUUUUGGAGAGUCUAUCUCCAUAUACAUAUCUGUCAAUGUGUGCACUCUCUUUACUGCUAGUAUGAAUAUGCUUCUUUCAUGAAACUUAAAUAUGAAAAGGGGAAUAAAUUGAAAGCAAAAGCUCAACAUGCGCACACAGGGGGGGGGAAGAACUUUGUCGCUGUCUACAAUCCGGUUGCUUGGCGAUUAAAAUCACCAUUAUAUUGGUAAUGUGGGAGAGUAGUAUAUGACAGCUUGUGGCUAUGAAAUAAUUGAUGGCUGACUUUCUUUUAGGAAAUCUCAACGGUGUGAGAGAAACCUUAUUGAAAUGAAAGAAAGAAGCGAUACCUAUCAGAGAUGAUGAGCCUUACGCAAAUGGAACGAUAGAUAACAUAAUAACAAAAACAAAACAAAACAAAAUCUAGUGUAAUGCAUUCAUGCAAAAAUGCAAAUACAUUCAUCAAGCUAUUUAAAUAUAUAAUUAGGAAGACCUUCAAUAUCAUUAAGAUAGAAUGACAAGAGUCUCUGAUGGAGGCUCAGACCACCAUAUUAACAAAAUUCUUAAUAACAUUGUUCCCUUCUCUAAAGGUAUGAGUAAAAUACACCUCCUUCUUCUCUUGAUGAAUAACAUAAUAACAAAAACAAAUCAAAACAAAAUCUAGAGUAACGCAUUCAUGCAAAAAAUGCAAAUACAUUCAUCAAGCUUUUUAAAUAUAUAAUUAGGAAGAUCUUCAAUAUCAUUAAGAUAGAAUGACAAGCGUUUCUGAUAGAGGACCAGACCACCAUAUUAACAAAUUUCGGAAUAACAUUGUUCCCUUCGCUAAAGAUAUGAGUAAAAUACACUUCUAUCUUCUCUUUGAUCAAUAAGCAGUUUUUCCAUUAAUUGAUCAAAGACCAAAAGGGAAGGAAGCCUAUCAUUGUGUAAAUGAAGAAUAUUGAGCAUUUAAUCAAACUCAAUCCAAACUCAAAAGUCUGAAACCAUCAAUGCUAAUCAUGAUAUCAUCAAACAGGGAAGCUGAAACGAGCUUUCACACUCAAAAAAGAACCUCCCAAGCGAAGGGAGAAAAUUAGGGAGGAAUACACACACACACACACACAUACACAUAUAUAUAAAUACACACCUGGCCAUAUAGUUCCUUUGCCCUGACAAAAAUAAGAGAGAACACCUUUAAUCAUGAUGAUUCUCUUUAAGAAAGAUGGAUUUAUGAGUAUUUUGAAACUUGGGGUGUAAGUAGAACCACUUCUGAUGAACUAUGUAUAUACCGAGAUAAAAUAUGGAUCCCAUGGGGCUUCUAUUUGCACUCUUUUAUUUUUCUGUUAAAACCCCUCUUCUAAAUAAGCCUAAUUAAACAAUUAAAAAUGCACAUUAUUUUUAUUGCACUUAAAUAACCCUUAUAUAUGUAUGCUUCCCGAACACACCCCUUCUCCAACUAAACAAGUUUUUCUAGAAUUAUUCCUUUUAUUCAAAAUAAUUAACGGCUAGGGGCUCUUAGGAUUGAUGUAUUGUUUUCUAAAGAUUAGUUUCAUUUUGAUAAAUUUAGUUGGAUGAGUUUGUAACAAGCCUUUUACAGAGAGUUUGUGCUAUAGCCGGCCAGUCCCAAUAAGGUUCUGUCUUUGUUCAUGGAGAAUUUGAGAUACCUUUAUAAUUUCCUUUUAAUGCCAUCGAUAAUAAUAAUUUAUACAUAGUGAUUCAUUGUGGUACUAUUGAAUAAUAAUUUACCAAGUAAAUAUAAAAUGAAUUAAUUGAAAAAUAAAUAGUUUUAAUAAAUAUAAUUAUAUUAAGUUCCCAAAAAAAAUAAAAAUAGUUCACCUUAAAUAGUAAACAUGAAAUAAGAAAAUGAAAAAAAAUAUAUUUUUAACUUUCCAGUGCUAAUAAUGCCUUUUAAUUUCAAGCCACAGACUUCACACAACUCAAAAAAUAUCUAGGCCAAAACUUUCUAUCCACAAUUUUUAGUCAAUGUAUACAGCUAGUCAACUCAAAAGUAAAUCGAUAAUUUUAAAAAAGAAACAUACUUUAGUCAUUUAAUAUUCCUUCGUACUAAAGGUAUAUGGUUGAUGUUCCAAAAUAAUUUGAAGAAAAAGAAGCUUCCUAAUUAACUUAUAGUCGCAUUAUAAACACUAAGAAAGAAUAUAUAUGUGUGUGUGUGUAAUCUUAAAGGAGUUUUUUUUUUCUUUUAAUUAUAUAUAUGUGAACUUAUAUUAGCUGCAUACCUAACCAAAAAAAAUGAUAGAAAGCACAAAUAUAUGUAAAUUAACAAACCUCUGAUUGUGGGAGAGACAGAGACUGCAUAAUCCUCCAUUUGUAAAGAAUGAGAAGAGGAAUGGUUGUGGUGGCGGAGAUGGCUUCCAUGUUUACUUUAUUGCCAUGCCUUCUCAAUAAGGAUAACUAUCGAUAGCAUAUGCACAUAUAUUAUACAAUGAUUCAGUAUGGC
rnacentral:lncRNA from 1 species